GAUUUGGUGCUUUUUUGCAGGCUUUCAACAGCAGAAAAGCAUCUGGAGGCUUGCAGUACUAAUCUCUUGCAUUAUAUUCUCUGUUUUGCAAUCAUUUGGUACUUUUUGUCCCAACCAAGGAUAGCUCUGUGCAAGCAGUCUCGACUGUGGAACAAGUAAAACAAAUGGUACCUGCUGAAGCUGAGAGGGCAGAUGAUAAAUUGGUGCGGAAGUUGGUCAACCAAAAGAAUCAGACAGCAAAAACUAAAAAGCCCAUGAAGCCUGCUACUGAAGCGAUCUCAGCACCUGUUUCUAGGAGGGGUGAGAUUGAAGCGACUGAAGAAAAGGAGCAUGAGCAAACAAAGAAGGAAGAGGAGUUGGCCAGGAAGGUAGAGGAAUUGAGAAGUGAAGAAGAAGCAGCCAUGUUGAAGGAGCAAAGUCUGUCGGAGGAGAAAGCCAACGUUAAGGAGGCACUGGAAAGGAAACAAGGAACUGCAGAAAAGGCCAAUUUCUCUGUGAGUGCUGCCACCUUUUCAUAAUAAUGGAUGUUAAAAGCAGUCUAACUCUACAUGGCGUUUAUUUUCCCCAGCCAUGGAUUGGAAUCUGCCAGUCUAACUCUCAUAAGAAAGAAAAUUUUCCAUCCUCGUAUGGAUUAUUGGAGAAGAUUUUAACAUGGAGUUCACUAGAGAGUUUCAAACACCCACUCAAAAAGGACAUUUUAGAGAACUUAUUGAAAAGUUACAUCAGAGUACAUAAAUUUUUAGAUAUUUUUAAAAAUAUCUGAAAAAUUAAAUUAACUAAAAGUAUUUGAAAAAUAUUUGAUUGAAUUAAUAAAUAACUAGUAUUUGCAUAUGAAAAAAUAGUAAACAUAGUCAAUAAUAUUUUUUUUUUAAUAAUUAGCACAUAAUAAUCAUAAAUUAUUUUAUGGCAAGACCUCAUAUUUGUUGUGGUGACUGUGUUGUCUUACCAUUCUUCUUUCAUGAUGGGCUUAAAUUUUAAUUUAAAUGUAGUAUAAAUAUAUAAUUAGAUUGAUAUUUCGUCCACUAGAAUUGAUUGGGGCUGAAUUUGAACCCUGGUUCGAGUCAUACUCCCAUCCAAUCCAAACUUGUGGUUGGGCUUGAAUUUCUUGGCCCAACCAGCGAAAUCAUUGACCAACGGCCCUUAGUUUGGGCUGGGCUUGAUGGUCCUCAGGUUAUGCAGGCUUAAUACUGAUUGGGUUUGGGCUUCCAUGCAGUUGUACUUGGAUUCUAUGUUUCCUAAUAUUAACACUAAAUUAGGUUUCAUUUAUAAUUAAAUAUAAUUAGUUUGAGACUAACUCCAAUCUUUAGUUAAACCAACUAAGUUUUAUGCAAAGGUUUAUAUUCCUAAUACCAUUGAAAAACUAAAUUUAUGUGGAAGUUUGACUAAGUGAUACCGACAUUAAAUUAUUAAGAUAAAUUGAAAAAAAAAAAAUCAUGCUCGUAUGUCCUGUUGUUUGUCAUAAGAAAAUUUCUUUUCAGAUUUUUUUUUUCUUUUAAUAUAUCUUUACUUUUUUAAUAACAAUCCAUAGGAUUGUUCCCAAACAUAUAUCAUAUAAAUAUAUCUUUUUUGGAUUUUUAAGAAUGUUGUCAAACAAACUCAUAAUACCAUUCUUUCUUAACAAUUACCAAUCCAUAUGACGAAUUUAUUACUUUCAAUAACUGACAUCAUCUAAUCAAAAUUAUAAUUAUAAUUAUAAUUAUAAUUAUAAUUAAGUAUUAUAUUAAAAGAGUGUUUGAUAAAUCAAUUUAAUAACUUAAAUUAAUUUAAUAACUUAAUUUAAAUUAUUAAAAUAAUUUGAUGUCACAAUUUAAAGUUAAAAAUGACUUAAUUUAUUUUUAUUUAAAUUUAAAAUUAUGUUUACAAAAAAGGUUUAAAAUUCAUAUCAAUUAAGAGAUUAAGUCAUUGAAUUACUUUAAGUCAUUAAAUUGAUCUACCAAUUAAAGUUCACCUCCUACAUAUCAUGAAAAUUAAAAAUUAAUUACAACAUCAAGAAUCUUUAGUUCCUAAUCGAUAUAAUAUUUAAUCCUUGGUUGUAAAUUUCUUUACAUAUGUAGAUAUAUUUUUAUAUUGCAAGUGGGUUGCCGACUUUUCAUUUUAUACUAGUUUUGAAAAUAAGAUUGUAGUUUUUAUUUUGUCCAAAUCUAAUUUGGAGGGAGAAUCUUUUAUAUUCAAAUAGGAAAAAUUUAAGUUUAAUAGUCCCACCUUAUAAAGGCAAAUAUCUUGGACCCUACAUGGGUGCCUCUUACAUGCACAAGGACAAAGACUUUUCAAUUUCUUUCUAGAUUUUUUUUUUCUUUUUGUUCUUUUCAAUUCUAGAUAUUUUAAUAUAUCUUUACUUUUUCAAAAACAAUCCCAAACAUUUUUUAAGAUUGAUUUUUAAGAAUGUUAUCAAACAAACUCAUAAUAGCAUUUUUUUCUUUACAAUUACCAAUUCAUAUGAUGAAUUUAUUACUUUCAAUAACCGACAUCAUCUAAUCAAAAUUAUAAUUAAGUAUCAUAUUAAAAGAGUGUUUAAUAAAUCAAAUUUAAUAACUUAAAGUGAUUUAAUAACUUAAUUUAAAUUAUUAAAAUAACUUGAUGUCACAAUUUAAAGUUAAAAAUAACUUAAUUUAUUUUUGUUUAAAUUUAAAACUAUGUUUACAAAAAAAGGUUUAAAAUUCCUAUCAAUUAAGAAAUUAAGUCAUUAAAUUACUUUAAGUCAUUAAAUUGAUCUACCAAUUAAACACCCUUUAAGAUAUUAUAUAAAGCUCACCUCCUACAUAUCAUGAAAAUUAAAAAUUAAUUACAACAUCAAGAAUCUUUAGUUCCUAAUCAAUAUAAUAUUUAAUCCUUGGUUGUAAAUUUCUUUACAUAUGUAGAUAUAUUUUUAUAUUGCAAGUGGGUUGCCGACUUUUCAUUUUAUACUAGUUUUGAAAAUAAGAUUGUAGUUUUUAUUUUGUCCAAAUCUAAUUUGGAGGGAGAAUCUUUUAUAUUCAAAUAGGAAAAAUUUAAGUUUAAUAGUCCCACCUUAUAAAGGCAAAUAUCUUGGACCCUACAUGAGUGCCUCUUACAUGCAUAAGGACAAAGACUUUUUGAAAGCCUCCCCCAUUCAUAUGGAUGCCAUCAUUCAUCGAAGUUGAAACACGAAACCCAAACAAAAUAUUUGAGCAAAAGCAACUUCAAUAUUUUUUUCAUAACUAUAGCUGAGAAUCUCAAUAUUAUUAAAUAGUGACAAAAUUAAUUUCAAUAUUUUUUUUCUCUUAUUUUUUCCUCCUUGUGGUUAUAUUUUCAAAUAGAAAGUAUUAAAUAUUUAAAAAAUAAAAAAAUCAUAAAAAAUAAUUUUUCAUAUUUAAUUAUUCUAUGAAAAAUAUAAAGUAAAAUAAAAUAUAAUUAAAAUUAGUUAAAAAUUUAUAUUUUUAUGAAAUUAUUUAAAUUAUUUAUAAAAAUUUAAAAUAAGUGACAUGAGUUUGAAAUAGUAUAUAUGUUGACUUUAAUUAUAUUUAGUUAAAGUUUUCUAUCAUGCCUAAGUUUAAUUAGUUCUACUUAUAUGAAAUUUAUACAUCGAAAUGAAAGUAAGCAUAUAUUUAAGUGGCCCAUCAAAUUUGAAACUAGUCUAUUGUAAUUACAUUCAUAUCUAUAUCAUUUAUAUUAUACAUAACUUGAGUAUAUUAAAAAUUGUACAAAAGAUCCAAAUCACAAGAAAAUUUAUAUAAAUUCUCUUAAGGGUUUAGGAUUAGACACUGUUAGCCAUUGUCUUCUAAAAAACUUUCAUCGCUUUCUCUCUCAAGAGGUUUGUAGCCACUUUACACAAAUGCCAAGACUCAAAGGAAUGAUCUAGUGAAAAUGAUGAGGUGAUUGAGAUCCUCUUCAUAAACUAGAGUUUGAUAUGGGAACAUUCAUAUUGAAGGUAAAAACUUUUAUCAACACCUAGACUUACUAUUAUAUUCCGUUAUAAUUAACCCCAAUAAUCCUAGGUUGUUAGAGAGCAUACACCUAUGAUCCAAGGGUUUUCCCAACAAAGAUAUCAAUAAAUCUUUCUAUUCCAUUGAUGGUAUCUUGAAUUCUUUCAAAUUAAUCACUUCAUUGUAAUCGUUAUUCACUUCAUUGUGAUUUGUCAAAUAAUAAUUCAUUUAUGCAUCAUGGUUGUGCCUUGAGGUAAGGCUUUAGAGGCAUAAGCCUCAAAAGCCUCUUAAAAUUGGUUCUACUUAUGCCUCUAUAGCCUCUUAAAAUUGGUUUUACAUUUCUUGCAUGAUGAAUGCAAGUUCCAAAUUUUGAUGACUUGGUAAUGUUGGAGUAAUUGGGUUGAAAGGAGUUAAACACAAACAAUUAUUAAAGAAGAUAAAAAUUUGGAAGAAUUAAAAUUUUAUUGUAUUCUACCACUCUCUUUUUUAUUCAAAUAUUACAUAACCUUUUAUUUAUAGAUGCUCACACUUAACUAAAAAUGAUAUAAUUAAAAGUAAAUUAUCAUUUGAUUGCAAUGGAUUCAAUAGAAUAUGGUGGAUAUGCUAAAUUUUUGUCUGUCAAUAAAAUUUGAUUUGAGUGAAUAUAAUUAGAGUAAAAUAGUCUUUUUUAACUGUCACUUUUACAAUAAAAAGUGUUUUAUUUAAAUAAAUAUUUAAUAAAAAUUUAAAAAAAAUUUAAAAAAAUAAUUAUAGUGUUUUCUAAGAAACAUUUGAUAAAUAAUUAUUAUAAAAACACUUCCUCGAAAAUACUUCAAAGUUAGUUGGAUGGUAAGUUAUACAUCAAGAUCUUAAUGAUGGUCCAUGCAACCAUCACCAUUGAUUGUUUUCGAAAACACAACUUCAAUUUAAAUAAUAUUUUAAGGCAACUCCUAGUUAUCAUAUUUUACAAGAUAUUUUUUAAAAUUAUUGUUCUUUUUCUUUCAAAAUCCCAAGAGAGAGGUCACCAAUAUCAAAAUAAUGUGACCCAUCUCUAUACUAUUAUCUCCAUUAUUUGGACUAUAUCAUAAUUUCCUUAUCGACAACAUGGUAGCCACGAUUAAAUACCUACAACUUUGAAAACAAGAUCUCAAAACUAUGCUUAUUUGAUUAUAAGGCUUAAUUAUUAUAGUUUAUCAUUUCCUAGCAUAGUUCUUAGCAUCUAGGUAUUUGUUCUAUAAUAAUUUUUCUCAUUUUUCAAGCUUGCAUUUUGUUUAGAAUUUUUUUGAGUUGUUUACAAUCAUUUUGAAAAUGUCAACUCAUAAUUGUAUACAUUUUAGUUCUUGAAGGACUAAAAUCACUAAACAUCAUGGUAAUACUAUUUAAGGUAAUUUGCUUUAAAUGAGAAUGAACUUAUAUACAACUUACGAUUUAAGGUAAUAAUAGAGAUCCAAUUUAAAAAUACAUAAGUUUUCAAUUAAAUAUUAGUAUAUUUAUGUUUCCCUCUUAUUUUUAAUCCUAAAACACAUUAAAUGUAUGUUCUUGAAUUCCUCCAUGUUUUUGAUGUAAUGCGAUUUGAUAUAAUGAUAAAUCAACUAUUAUGAUUUAAUAAUAUGGAGCUUUGACUUUUGACAUUUAAGUAACACUGUCAAUGAAAGCUCCAUUAUUUUUGCUUCAUGGAAAAACAAAUGAUGUGAUUGAAUUACACUUCAAUUAUGUUUGAUUCUUUGAAAAUACUCAAGAAAAAUAAAUAUUUUUAAAAAUAAUUUUCUCAUAUUUGAUUUUGUUAGCCCAAGGGUUCUCCUAAUUGGGUUUUGAUGAUAACAAACCAUGGUUAAGUGACUAAUUGGUUUAAUGAUUAAGAACCUCAGGUAUAAACUCGAAAAUUCAUCAAAUGACCAAAUGGAUACAAGAUCGAGACGCUUGGAAGACUUGUGAUCAUAGGAAAUUAAUGUAAGAUGAAUGCAUAAGUGCACUUAGGAUUUUCACACGUUUCAUGCAUUUUAGAAAACUCGGUUUAGUCUUUAAAACGUCGAUUUCAUUAAAACCCGAGUUUUUAACUAAUGUACCUUAGGAAAAUUGUUUUAUAAUUGGCUUAAUAAUUUUCCUAAAGACAUUGCCUAAGUGUUAGAAAAGAAAGGAAUAAAAAAAAAUAUAGGUUUUUGGGGCCAAAAAGGCUUAACCAGUCGAGGUUAUGGCCAACCGGCUCAACCGCUUGAGGAACCGGUCGACCGGUUGACCUCGUUCGGUCGAGGAUGCACCAAAACCUUCUCUCUUUCCCAGUGGCCUUCUCUCGUUCGGUUGACCGCUUGAGGUGAUUUUCUUACCGGUCGAGGUCCGGUUGAGGCAACGGUAAUCUGUCAUGCAUUAUAUGCUCCAAUGGCUAGUGAACCGAUCGACCCUUAGCUCGACCAGACGAGGUUACCUUUUGCUAUUUUGGACUCCCGAGCUUAGAAACCUAUAAAUUGAGAGCUCUAAUUCUUUUAUUGACAAGAGAACACUUGCAUUCAAUAGCCUACCUACCUGUUCUUGAUCAAAAAGCUCUCAUUUAUUUCAUAGUGCAUUAAAUCACCACUUGCAUAUCCUUUAGUGCACUCUUGUGUGUCAUCCUAGCUUUAUCUUGUAUUUGAGCUAUCCUUAAGUUAGGUUGAGGGAUUAUAUCUAGUAAAAAUCUGAGUGUUAAAGCCUUUAAGAGGGUUGAAUCUUGAAGUGGUUGUGGAAGAGCCCAUUGGAGCCGGAAUCCAAGUGUAAGAAGAUUGGAAGCUUAGUUGAAGCUUUAAGUUAGUGGAACCCUCACUCAGUUAGGAGGUUGAGGAGAGUGGAUGUAGGCAAGGAAGUUCUGAACCAUUAUAAACCCGAGUUUGAAUUCUCUAAACUCUAUCUCUUUACUUUGCUUAUAUUGUGUUUGAAUUUUUUGUGAUUAAAAAUAUUUUAAAAACCCAAUUCACCCCCCCCCCCCCCCCCCCNNNNNNNNNNNNNNNNNNNNNNNNNNNNNNNNNNNNNNNNNNNNNNNNNNNNNNNNNNNNNNNNNNNNNNNNNNNNNNNNNNNNNNNNNNNNNNNNNNNNCAUAUAUUAAAUCAUAAUAGUUGAUUAUCAUUAUAUCAAAUCGCAUUACAUCAAAAACAUGGAGGAAUCCAAGAACAUACAUUUAAUGUGUCCCCCCCCCCCCCCCCCCUUUUGGGUGUUUUUCUUAACUAAGCAUGGCCUUUGUUUUCUCAAUUGGCAUCAGAGCUAGACCUCUUGUGUUUUAAAAGACUUAAUCGUCUAAGAGGAAAUGACUAUUCCAUCAAGCUCAUCCUCAGUUAAAAAUUUUUCAAAACAUAAAGCUCCAUUCUUUACGAGAACCGACUAUCCCUAUUGGAAAACCAGAAUGACUUGGUAUUUGCAAUCUACUGAUUUAGAUGUAUGGGAUGUCAUUGAAGAUGGCCCAACUUUUCCUACUAAACUAGUUGAUGGAGUUUUGGUUCCAAAACCCAAGCAAGAAUGGAAUGAGCUUGAUAGAAGAAACUUUCAAUUAAAUGCUAAAGUCGUUUUUACUUUGCAAUGUGCUAUGGAUAGAAAUGAAUAUAAUAGAAUAUGUCAAUGCAAAUCAGCUAAAAAAAUUUGGAGGUUGCUUGAAAUAACUCAUGAAGGAACUAAUCAAGUGAAAGAGUCAAACAUCAAUUUACUUGUUCAUAACUAUGAAUUGUUUUCAAUGAAAGAAACUGAGACUAUUGUUGAGAUGAUUACUAGGUUCAGCGACAUUGUCAAUGGUCUUGAAGUUUUGGGAAAAACCUACAAGGAAUCCGAGAAGGUGAUGAAGAUAUUGAGGUCUCUCCCAUCAAAGUGGCAUACCAAGGUCACCGCAAUUCAAGAAGCAAAAGACUUGACUAAGCUACCUAUGGAAGAGCUCAUAGGGUCAUUAAUGACAUAUGAGAUCAAUUUGACAAAGAAGCUACAAGAGGGUGAAGACAAAAAGAAGAAUAACAUAGCCCUUAAAGCUACAACCAAGGAAGAAGAAGAUGUUGAAGAAGAAAAGCCAAGUGAUGAAGAUGAUGAUUUAGCCCUUAUCACAAGAAAGCUCAACAAAUACAUAAGAGGUGAAAGGUUUAGAGGAAGGAAAUUCACCUCUAGAAGGGAUCCUUCUAAAAAAGGAAUCUUCAUCCCAUAGUGACAAGGAGAAAUGGGAAGAGAAAAGAGAUUUGACAUGCUUCAAGUGCAAAAAGCCGGGACACAUUAUAUAUGAUUGUCCUCUCUACAAGAGUAAAGCCAAGAGAAGAAUGAAGAAGGCAAUGAUGGCCACUUGGAGUGAAAGUGAAGAAUCCUCCGAAGAAGAAAAUGAGGAAGGAAGUGGAAAACAUGUGCUUCAUGGCAAUAGAUGAUCAUGAUGAGGUAAACUCUAACUUUAGUGAUGAAGAUAUGCAUGAUGUUUUUGAAGAAUUAUAUGAGGAUUUUGAAAAACUUAAUUUGAAAAAUAAUUCUCUUAAAAAGAAAAUUGAAGAACUUGAAAAGGAACUUGAAGAAGUGAAAGAAAAAUUUUCAAUUGUUGAAAUAUCUAAAACUCAUCUUGAAAAAGAAAAUGAGAUUUUGAGAAGUGAAAAUGAGAUUUUGAAAAAAAAAAAAAAUGAAUGGUUAACCUUCUCUCUUUCAAUUUUCUCUUGUGGACAAAAAUAUUUUGAAAUGAUCUUAGCUAGCCAAAAAUGUGUCUUUGACAAACAAGGGCUAGGAUUCAAAUCAUCAAAAAAUCAAAAGUAUUUAAAAACUACUUUGUAAAAGAAUCCACAAGUGCAAGUCCUUCCACCAGUUGCAACUUUUGUGGAAGAGGAGGGCACAUUAGUAGUACAUGUCCCUUAAGAAAUGGUUCUCAAAAGAAUUUAAAUGCUAAAGCUAAAAAGGUUUGGGUUGAGAAAUCCAAGGUCACUAACUCUCAAGGACCCAAAAAAAUAUGGGUGCCUAAAUCAACUUAAAUUUUAUUUUGUAGGGAUCAAAGAAGGAUAAGUGGUUCUUGGAUAGUGGAUGCUCAAGACACAUGACCGGGGAUGAAUCCAAGUUUGCUUUCCUUACAAAGAGAAAGAGAGGAUACAUUACCUUUGGAGACAAUUCAAAAGGAAGGAUCAUUGGUCAAGGCAACAUUGGUAAUGCCACAUCCUCCCUUAUUGAAAGUGUUUUAUUAGUGGAUGGUUUAAAACAUAGUCUUUUGAGCAUAAGUCAACUUUGUGACAAAGGUUUUAAAGGGAUUUUUGAAGAAUCUCAUUGCAUCAUCAAAGAUAUUCAAAAUGAUAAAACCAUCUUCAUGGGCCAUAGAUGUGACAAUGUUUAUGCAAUAAAUAUUUCAAAAUAUGAUGGUCAUGAUAGAUGCUUUUCAAGCAUGCAUGAUCAAAGUUGGUUGUGGCAUAGGAGGUUGGGACAUGCUAACAUGAACCUCAUUUCCCAACUCAACAAAGAUGAACUUGUUAGAGGCCUUCCCAAAAUAAAUUUUCAAAAAAAUAAAGUUUGUGAAGCUUGUCAAAUCGAAAAGCAAAUAAAAAACUCUUUUAAAAACAAAAAUUUCAUUUCAACAACUAGGCCUUUUGAAUUGUUGCAUAUAGAUUUAUUUGGUCCCUCUUGGACACCAAGCCUUGGAGGAAAAUCUUAUGCUUUUGUUAUUGUAGAUGACUUCUCUAAAUACACUUGGGUCUUAUUUUUAAGUCAAAAGAAUGAAGCCUUUUAUGAGUUUUCAAAGUUUUGCAACAAUGUUCAAAAUAAAAAAGGUUUUACAAUUACUUGUAUAAGAAGUGAUCAUUGGAAAGAAUGUGAAAAUAUUGAUUUUGAAGACUAUUGCAAUGAGCAUGGUAUUAACCACAACUUUUCGGCUCCUAGAACUCCUCAACAAAAUUGGGUAGUUGAAAGGAAAAAUAUAACUCUUCAAGAAAUGACUAGAACCAUGCUAAAUGAAAACAAUUUACCAAAAUACUUUUGGGCCGAAGCGGUUAACGCUUCUUGUUAUGUUUUAAAUAGAAUUUUAUUAAGGCCUAUUCUUAAGAAUCUCCCUAUGAGCUUUGGAAAAACAAGAAACCCAACAUUAGAUAUUUCAAAGUCUUUGGGUGUAAAUGCUUUAUUUUAAACACCAAAGACAAUCUUGGAAAUUUUGAUGUAAAAUCGGAUGUUGGAAUUUUACUUGGUUACUCAACUUCAAGUAAAGCCUUUAGAGUUUUUAACAAAAGAACCAUGGUUGUUGAGGAGUCCAUCCAUAUUAUCUUUGAUGAAUCUAACAAUUCUCUCCAAGAAAGACAGAGCUUUGAUGAUGAUCUAGGCUUGGAGACCUCCAUGGGAAAAUUAAAAAUUGAAGAUAGAAGGCAACAAGAAAAAGUUGUAGAGGAUCCCAAGAAAGAAGAAUCACCUUUGACACUACCUCAUCCUCAACAAGUGCAAGGUGAAUCAAGCCAAGACCUCCCUAAAGAUUGGAAGUUUGUCAUCAACCACCCACAAGAUCAAAUUAUAGGUAAUCCAUCUAGUGGGGUAAGAACUAGAUCAUCUCUUAGAAAUAUUUGCAAUAAUCUUGCUUUUAUCUCUCAAAUUGAACCUAAAAAUAUAAAAGAUGCUCUAGUUGAUGAAAAUUGGAUGAUUGUCAUGCAAGAAGAGUUAAACCAAUUUGAAAGAAGUGAAGUAUGGGAAUUAGUGCCAAGACCUCAAAAUCAGAGUGUUAUUGGAACUAGAUGGGUCUUUAAAAACAAAAUGGAUGAAAAUGGUAUAAUUAUAAGGAAUAAAGCAAGAUUGGUAGCCCAAGGUUUUAAUCAAGAAGAAGUGAUAGAUUAUGAAGAAACCUUUGCUCCCGUAGUUAGAUUGGAAGCCAUUAGGAUGCUACUUGCCUUUGCAUGUUUUAAAAACUUUGUUUUAUAUCAAAUGGAUGUGAAAAGUGCUUUCUUAAAUGGCUUUAUAAAUGAAGAGGUAUAUGUUGAACAACCACCCGGUUUUCAAAGUUUUAACUUUCCUAAUCAUGUUUUUAGACUUAAAAAGACACUUUAUGGUUUGAAACAAGCACCUAGAGCAUGGUAUGAAAGAUUGAGUAAAUUUCUUUUGAAAAAGGGUUUUAAAAUGGGAAAAAUUGACACAACUCUUUUCAUAAAAACCAAAGAAAAUGACAUGAUCUUAGUGCAAAUAUACGUUGAUGAUAUCAUUUUUGGAGCUAAUAAUAUCUCUCUUUGUGAAGAAUUCUCUAAAUGCAUGCAUAGUGAGUUCGAAAUGAGCAUGAUGGGAGAAUUUAACUUCUUCCUUGGACUUCAAAUCAAGCAACUAAAGGAAGGAACCUUCAUCAAUCAAGCAAAGUAUAUAAGAGAUCUCCUCAAAAGGUUAAAUAUGGAGGAAGCCAAAACAAUGAAAACUCCAAUGAGUUCAUCCAUCAAGCUUGACAUGGAUGAGAAAGGUAAGCUCAUCAACUCAACUAUGUAUAGAGACAUGAUAGGUUCUUUGCUAUAUUUGACCACUAGUAGACCCGACAUCAUGUAUAGUGUAUGCUUGUGUACUAGAUUUCAAUCUUGUCCUAAAGAAUCUCAUUUAAGUGUUGUAAAACAAAUUCUUAGAUAUUUAAAAGGGACUAUGGACAUAGGCCUAUGGUAUCCUAAGUGUGAUAAUUUUGAAUUAAUUGGAUACUCGGAUACCGACUUUGCCAGUUGUAAAGUUGAAAGGAAAAGCAUUAGUGACACUUAUCAUUUCCUAGGACACUCACUUGUUUCAUGGCAUAGUAAGAAGCAAAAUUCAGUAGCUUUGUCUACGGCGGAAGCCGAAUACAUAACAGCCGGUUUAUGUUGUGCACAAAUCCUUUGGAUGAAACAAACACUUGGUGAUUUCAAUUUGAUUUUUGAGCAUGUUCCUAUAAAAUGUGAUAACACUAGUGCCAUAAACAUUUCAAAAAAUCCGGUACAACACUCUAGGACUAAGCAUAUAGAGAUAAGACACCAUUUUCUUAGAGACCAUGCACAAAAGGGUGGCAUUACACUUGAAUUUGUAAACACAAAAUAUCAACUUGCCGAUAUUUUUAUAAAACCCCUAAGUGAAGAGCAAUUUUUUGAUAUUAGAAGACAACUAGGGGUGAUUUCUUUAUGAUCAAAUGAUUGCUUGAUGAAUUCUUAAUUGAAUAUACCUUAUGAUUGUGUGAAAUUCAUAUCAUAUGCAUCAUAUAGAAAUAAUCCUAGGAAAGAGGUCAAAUUUUGACCAAAAAUCAAAAUUCUCGUGGCAUUGGACAUAAAAAAUUGGGGAUUUCUACUGAAAAGGGUAGAAGGAGGAUCACAAGACAAGAAAAUGCAAAAAUUUUGGAAAAUUUGACCGUUGACCAAGCGGUCGACCGAUUGAGGAAUCGGUCGAUCGGUUCGUCGGGGCUAGGAACCCCACACUUCAUUUCUCACCUAUUCUCUUCCAUAGCUUGAAGCCCCUUCACAUACCUGCUUCCAGAGGCCAUUUUGGGUUGGAUUUUGGAUUGAUUGAAGGCUUUGAGUGGAUUUUGGGACGCAUUUAAGCUAGGGUUUCAAUCUGAAACCUAGGGUUUUCAGAUUUGGGAGCGUCUUCUCUCUGCACCGCGUGCCUCAAGGUUGAUUUAGCUUCAUCUCCGUGCGCCUAGGGCUUCGGGUUGGUGGUUGCUCCUUCUUAUUUGAUUUCAUUCUCUUUUUGGACUCCUCCUUCUCCUUUCCAUUCAUUGGAUGGCUCCAAGGCGAGAGACGGGCACCUCCGAAAGGCGAGGUAUGACACGACCCUCUUCAGUUCGGUUGAAAACUAUCAGCGCUACAAGCAAAAGUUUGCCCAGAGAAAAGUUGUCCCAGGGAGAAGUGUCAAUUUCUCCCAACUUCAGCACUUCGGGUUUAAGAGACUAUUCGAUCGGAUGGGAUGGCUGCCAGUUGUGACCAUUUCUGAGUCGAUCUUCCCGACUCUGGUGCUGGCUUUUUAUUCACGGGCGACCUAUGGGCUUGGAGGACCUAUAUUGUCCACUGUGAGGGGAGUUGAGAUCAGAUUGAGUCCCAAGAGUAUCUAUCGCAUUCUCGGCAUCCCUUCCGUUGGACUCCAAGUGUAUGAGGCCAAGGCGUGGCCCAUUGUGUCAGGAUUCUAGCCUAGAGAGGCUGUUCAGAGGUUGUGUGAACUCGUAGAUGCCCAGGGGAUGGGCAAACCAUUAGCACACAGCCUAACCAUGCCCAGCCGAGUCCUUCACCACAUGAUAUGCUCCAUUUUAUUGCCACGAGGAGGACAUCGAGAUGAGAUCUCGUAUCUUGAGGCAUUUAUUGUGGACUCGAUCCUCAUUGGGAGACGAAUUCACGUGGGAUAUCUAAUGAUGAUGCAUAUGAUCUCCUACGUUGAGAGCACGACACGAGUACUUCCCUAUGGCCGCUUCCUUACCCGAGUAUUCAAGGAUGUCGGGGUCGACUUGAGUAGAGAGACGGACUUCGAGGCCCCAACUAGCUAUGAAACGUAUGAUGAGCAGUCCUUAGGACGCAUGAAGUUCGAGAAGGCACUCGAUGGUUCUUGGGUUAGGAGAGCUGAGUGACAGGCCCAAAGAUAGGGACAGAUGCAUCCCGAGGCAGAGGAAGAGGCCGAGAUCAAAGAGAUGGAGGAUGGGUUAGACCCUCAGAGGGACUUUGAGCAGAGAGGACCCGAGCUUGACAUUCCACCUCCACCUCGUCAGAGGGCAUUCAUGUUGAGGCUACUUUCUCAGAGCUUAUGAUGAUUGAGCUAUCUUUCAUAGUAGGACCAUCAUCUCAGCCAUCAUUUACCGAGCUACCAUCUCAGGCACCUCACGCUCCUGAGCAUACGCCUUGGAUGGAUGUCUUAGCUCAGAUCAGCUCCCUUGGGACUCAUAUGGAGGAACUUGUUUUAGUCCAUGACUCUCGCUUCUACUCUAUGGAGGAGCACAUGGAUCAGUAUCAGACUGGAGUCACUUCUCAGUUUGAUCACUUCCAACAGAGAUUUGAGCUCAUAAAUGAGCGUAUAGAUCAGUAGUAGGCUACAUUUGAGCAUCUCUAGCAGAGCAUUGAUCGCAUUGAGAGUCGUCAGGCGAGUCAGCAUGAGGAGAUGAUGGUUUACCUCCGCUCUGUGUUUCCUCCUCCACCUCCUCAGCCUUGAGAUUGUCUCGAGUUUCCCUUCCAUUUCUUUUUUAUGUUGCCAAAGAAGGAGAAAUAUAUAGGAUCUAGGAGACCCUCAUGCAUGUCAGAGACCCUCAUACAUGUCAUUGUCAUAUCAUCUUGUUUGUACAUGUGAGGUUUUCAUAUAUAUAUGAUAUGAUAUUUUUAUGAUCCAUUGUUCAUUUUCAUGUUUUACAUUGCUUCCUAUUAAAAAUUGUUUGAUUGAUCCAUGAUUGGUUUGAGGGAAAGAUUUUUUUUCUCCUAGAUAACCAAGGUUUGUCAUCAUAAAAAAGGGGAAGAUUGUUAGCCCAAUGGUUCUCCUAAUCGGGUUUUGAUGAUAACAAACCAUAGUUAAGUGACUAAUUGGUUUAAUGAUUAAGAAUCUCAGGUAUAAACUCGAAAAUUCAUCAAAGGACCAAAUGAAUACAAGAUCGAGAUGCUUAGAAGACUUGUGAUCAUAGGAAAUUAAUGUAAGAUGAAUGUAUGAGUGCACUUAGGAUUUUCACACGUUUCAUGCAUCUUAGAAAACUCGAUUUAUUCUUUAAAACGUCAAUUUCAUUAAAAACCGAGUUUUUAACUAAUGUACCUUAGGUAAAAUGUUUUAUAAUUGGCUUAAUAAUUUUCCUAAAGACCUUGCCUAAGUGUUAGAAAAGAAAUGAAUAAAAAAAAAAGGUUUUAAGGGCCAAAAAGGCUCAACUAGUCGAGGUUAUGGCCAACCGGCUCAAUCGGUUGAGGAACCGAUCGACCGGUUGACCUCGUUCGGUCGAGGACCGGUCGAGGAACCGAUCGACCGAUUGACCUCGUUCGGUCGAGGACCGGUCGAGGAUGCACCAAAACCUUCUCUCUCUCCCAAUGGCCUUCUCUUCCCGGUCGAGGUCCGGUCAAGGCAACAGUAACCUGUCAUGCAUUAAAUGCUCCAACGGCUAGUGAACUGAUCGACCCUUAGCUCGACCAGACGAGAUUACCUUUUGCUAUUUUUGACUCCCGAGUUUAGAAACCUAUAAAUUGAGAGCUACACUUCAUUUAUUGACAAGAGAACACUUGCAUUCAAUAGCCUACCUACUUGUUCUUGAUCAAAAAGCUCUCAUUUCUUUCAUAGUGCAUUAAAUCACCACUUGCAUAUCCUUUAGUGCACUCUUGUGUGUCAUCCUAGCUUUGUCUUGUAUUUGAGCUAUCCUUAAGCUAGGUUGAAGGAUUAUAUCUAGUAAAAAUCUGAGUGUUAAAGCCUUCAAGAGGGUUGAAUCUUGAAGAGGUUGUGUAAGAGCCCAUUAGAGCCGGAAUCCAAGUGUAAGAAGAUUGGAAGCUUGGUUGAAGCUUCAAGUUAAUGGAACCCUCACUCGAUUAGGAGGUUGAGGAGAGUGGACGUAGGCAAGGAAGUGUCGAACCACUAUAAACCCGAGUUUGAAUUCUCAAAACUCUAUUUCUUUACUUUGCUUAUAUUGUGUUUGAAUUUGUUGUGAUUGAAAAGAUUUUAAAAACCCAAUUCACCCCCCCCCCCCCCCCCCCUUUUAGGUAUUUUUCUUAACUAAGCAUAGCCUUUGUUUUCUCAGAUUUUAUUAUAAAAAAAUAAUAUAAUUAAAAUUAGUAAUAAAUUUAAAUAUUUUUAAAUUACUUAAUCUUUAUAUAAAAGAGUUAAAUUAGUAAAACGAGUUUAAAAUAUGAUAUAAAGGUAAUUUAUUGACUUUAAAUCUUCUUUUUUUUUUUUACUUCACUUUUUCUUUCCUUCUCUUUCUCCUCUAUCUUCUUUCUUUCAUAUUUUCCCUCAUGUUUUUUGGAACCGAACAUAUUCACAUAUAUCCUUGAUUUCUAGUGGGUUUAUGAAAUUUGAGUAGACAUAAUUAAUGGAUCAAUCUUUAUUUUUCAUUUGACUUAAUUAAAAUAUUCUCUUUGAUGAGAUCAUAUUUGAUAAAUUGUUAUUUGAUUGCAGCAUAUUCAAUCGAAUUCGAUAGUCUAGGUAUCAUAAAUCAUACAUGUUAUACACUAUUUAUAGUAAAUGAAUAGCCACAAACCAUACAUAGAGGAGAUGCGGAUUUCAUUAUAAAUCAUACGAUAAUUACAAAAGAUAUGAUAUUAACUUGCAGUAAAUUGCAACAUCGGCACUCUAAUGCUGGAUUAGAGUAGGGGCAAUGGGCUCAGAGUAACUAGACAAAGUAAGUCUGAUUAUUGCUAACUUUCCUCAUCUUUCGUGGGCCUUUUGGGUGCUUUUUGUGCAAAAGAGAAAAUGCUAUAACUAAAUUGCCAAUCCAUCACCAACGUUAUAGACUAAUGAAGAAUACCAAAGGGGGUUGAAAAGAAAAAUAAAAAAAGACGCGUAUGUGUAUUAUUUUCUGUCAUUGAGUGUGUAUAUGGAUGUUAGAAGGUCAUUUGAUUGAUUAUGUUUGUUGACGAGAGUUUGUAUGUGAGCUUUUCGAGACCCUUCAUUCUUUGUAUUCAUUUUUGUCAUAUGUUUUGAGAGUGAGAUGAGUGGUCUUCUCUUAGGAGCUCUGAGUCAUUGUCUAUUCCAUCAUUGUGUUCGUUAUUGACGUGACCUCCUUUCAUAUUUGAUUUAAGCAUAUCAUCACUCGUUCUCGUAUUCUAUGUUUCAUCAUCAUACUCGUUUUCACUUCUGAUUCAUCAUUUUCAUUUCACCACUUAUUCCGUUCUUACAGUGACCUCAUCUUUGGGUUUGAUACUCUCUUCGCAUCAUCAUUAUACAUCUCGUCAUCAGUUUGAUUUUCUUCAUUGCAUCAUCAUUGUUACCAUGUUCACAGUAGGCAUUCUCAGGUCCAUGGCUCACAGGAUUUACUAUACAUGUUGCAUUUCAUACACGAGGGCAUGGGUUGUGAUCAUUGGGUAUUUGAGCUUAGUUUCCCUUCGUUUCUAUCACCCUAGCCUACAUUACAUCCCGUGUCUUAAGACCACCCUGAGGCCAUGGGAUCAGAUAUCGUCUUCUAUGGCUUCUAUUUGGACAGGUGUUUGAGAUUUGGUUGACAUUUAGAUAUUGUCAUGUUUCUUCUUCUGGGAGACACCUCUAUGAUGUUUAGAUUCGUUUCAACUGUGUUUGGAUUACCGGGAUCACGCGUUUGAUGAGGGAUGAUUCGAUGUCGCUUGUUUUUCUGACAUGUCGUACAUCCGAUGUCAUACUGGGGCAUAUUCCAUUUCGGAUGAUGUUUACAGAUCUUCAUGGAGUCACUUGAUCAUUCUUACUUGUGAGAUGUGCACUGGGACGAUGACUUAUUUGCCAUUUUUAUGAUGAUACCUCAGUAGAGACUCUUGGGAUCCAUCCGGUUAAGCCCGCACGUCUCGGCAUUCCGAUGUCACCAUGAUUACCUCUGUGAGAUGCCUUUUGGACUCUUGGACCCGAUUCUGUCCUAGAUUGAUGACUGGGAUUAUACGCUUGAUGAGAGAUGAUUUCAUGUCACCUGUUCUUCUGACUUGUCACACAUUCGAUGUCAUACUGGGGCAUAUUUUCAUUUCGGAUGAGAUUUAUGGAUCUUCACGGAGGUCACAUGUUUGAUGAUAAAUGAUUUCUUGUCGCCCGAUCUUCAACAUAUCAUACAUUCGAUGCCAUAAUGGGGCAUAUUUCCGUUCUGGAUGAGAUUUACAGAUCUUGGUGGAUUUGCAUGCUUAUCCUCAUUUGCGAGACGUACGCCGAGACGAUGAUCUAUUUGCUAUCUUUACGAUGAUUCCUCAGGGAAGCCUUUCAGGAGUUACCUAGUUAAACCCGCACUUUUCGACACUUAGAUGUCGUCAUGCUUUCUUCCGAGAGACGCCUCUUUGAUUUGUGGGCCUGAUUCAGUUGCAGACAUGGAUGAUUUGAGCUCAUUUGAUUUUCCAACCUAUCACAUUUUUGAUGCCAUACUGGGGCAUAUUCCCCAUUUUGGUCGAGAUUUGUAGAUCUCCCAUUGAUUUGCAUGAUCAUCUCCGGUUAUGAGAUACACGUCAUGUUGAUGAUUUGAUUUCAUUUUGUCCUGAUACUCCGAGGAGCCUCACUUGAGUCAUUCAGCCAGAUUCAUACUCUCUGAUAUAGUCGUGAUUCUUAGACAGAGUUACCUCAGGUGCCUGGUUUUCCACAUCAUCAUUUCAGUGGGGUACAUAUAAGAUAUUUUGUACAUCCCCCAUGGAGUUAUUCUCGAGUUAUUAUGACAGAUCGGAUACGUUAGACGUUAUAUUGGGACAUAUUUCCCUCCUUCGGCUGCGGAGGUGAUUGUUCUCUCACAAAUCUAUUACAGUUUUUCAUCACUCGAUCGAUGAACAUUUGUUUGCUUUAUUGGUCACCGUUCCUGUGAUUUUCGUCAAGAUGAGCUUUCAGUGUAGCACGAUGUUCGGGUUUUGACCGUCCCACUAGCCAUGAGUCUUUGGUGGAUUGUUACUUUGAGAUUGUGGUAUGUCUCUUAGCGGACUAUUCCCUUGAGACCCUAUCAAAUUAUUCAUUUCAGAUGACGAUAGAUUUCUCUAGCAGAUUGUUUCGAGUUAGAGGCGUCUGACUCAUUAUGACAUCCCGUCAGGCGUCGUGAUCUAGUAGGGCGAGUUGUGAGACUAUGUUCACAAUCGAUUUGAUUAUCCCGACUUACUAGUGGGACAUUUUUUUUUAGACUCAUGAAGUCUCUUUCAAACCUUUCCAAUGGAUUGAGAGUUGUGGCGGCCUGCUACACUAGGGCAUGUCCCCUCCUUCAUCAUUUCCUUACAGUUCGGCGUUCAGAGCCAUCAUUCAUUACUGAUUUUCUAUUUGGCGUUCAGAGUCACAUUCUCAGUUUCAGAAUUCAAAGCCAUCAUCGAUUUUCAGUUUGACGUUCAAAGUCCGCAUUUUUCAAUUUUGGCGUUCAGAGCCAUCAUCGUGUUUUUAGUUUGACGUUCAGAGUCACAUUCUUAGUUUCGACAUUCAGAGUCAUCAUCGAUUUUCAGUUUGACAUUCAGAGUCGCAUUUUUCAGUUUCGGCAUUCAGAGCCACCAUCAUUUUUUAGCCUAGCAUUCAGAGCCACUAUGUCUUCUCAUUUACGACGCUUAGGGUCAUCUUUCUUAGUUGGACGUUCAUAGUUAUCAGUUUUAGUUUGGCAUUUAGAGCCAGCGUUUCUGCAUGGCAUUCGUAGAUAUUAUCUUCGUUUCGACGUUUAGAGCCACGUUUUCAUUUCAACAUUCAGAGCUGUUGUUUCGGUUUGGCGUUCAAAGCCAUGGUUUUGGGUCGACAUUCAGAGUUAUUAUAUCAUCCAUUUCGGCGUUCAGAGCCAUUACUCAUCUUCGUUACAACAUUUAGAGCCACUACUUAUCUUCAUUCGGUGUUCAGAGCCAUGUUUGCUUCAUUUGGCGUUUAAAGCCACGUCUUCGUUCAGCGUUCAGAGCCAUUACAUCAUCCAUUUCGGCGUUCAAAGCCAUUACCCAUCUUCGUUACAACAUUCAGAUCCACUACUUAUCUUCGUUCGGCUUUCAAAGCCAUGUUUGCUUUAUUCGGCGUUAGAGCCACGUCUUCGUUCGGCGUUCAGAGCCAUUACAUCAUCCAUUUCGGCGUUCAGAGUCAUUACUCAUCUUCGUUACAGCAUUCAGAGCCACUACUUAUCUUCGUUUGGCAUUCAGAGCCAUGGUUUGCUUCAUUCGACGUUCAGACCCACGUCUUCAUUCGGCGUUCAAAGCCAUUACAUCAUCCAUUUUGGCGUUCAGAGCUAUUACUUAUCCUAGUUUCGGUGUUCAGAGCCAUUACUGGUUUUCUAUUUGGUGUUCAGAGUCACAUUCUCAGUUCCUCAAUCAGAGUCCUUAUGUCUAUCUUUCGUUUUGAUCCAUCACCAUUUUCCUCCAUUCUAGCAUUUAAAGCCAUUGGGCACACUCUUUCGAGCCUUUUUAGGUCAUUUCUAUUCUUAAUUUUGGCGUUCAGAGCCAUUGUACUUAUCCAUUCAGGCACUUUGAGUCACCAUUUUCUCUUUUCUUUUUUACGUUCAAAGUCACGGUCCCUGGCAUUUAUAUUCACUGGCAUUGCACAUCUGACAUUCAUAAUUUUGCAUCCAUCCUCACUUACCUCACCUUGUUACCCUGUGCUUAUCACUUAUUCAUCAUUGCUCGUCCAGAUUCCUGUUCCACUGCACAUGACACAAUCUCUUGAGUUCACGACACAUACUUCGAUCGUGUUGUUGAGGACCCUACACUUAUCAUUUUCAUGUAGUUCAGAUAGGGUAGUCUUCUUUGGGCGUAGACUUUUCUAUGCUCUAGGGCGAUUCGACCGUCACUCAUCUUUGAUAUGUUUUUUUUUAGUUACUUUUGGAGACGUCUUAGAGGGAGCCUGAGUCCUCAGUGUGGCUUCAGGACAUUUUGAGACAUCAUUUUCUUUUAGGGUUAGAGCCUUUUGUUCACCUAUUGGAUUGAGAGAGUUCGUGUUUCACUAGCAUCCUUUUGGGGGUCUCUUUUGUUCUUUGGUAGAGUUCACUUCAUUCCACUCACUAUUCACACUUUCUUUUCAUUCCAGUGUUCAUAUUCCUUACACUUGUGAGUUCUACCGAAGAUGAGCAUAUUUGUAGACCCCCAUUUAGGCAUGGUUCAUUUUUUCUUUGUUGUUUCUACAGGUUACAUUUUUUUUUUUGCCAGGUGUCGCAGCUAUGAGUAGCCAUGUGUUGAUUCCAAUUUGGUUGCUAUGGCAUCAGGUAGUGGAACAAGGAGCAAACAAGAGGUUGACACGUGUCAAAAAGAUUGGGGAAAAAGUUGAGUUCGUUAGGAGGAGUAGAGGAGAGAGAGAAUUGGUUGGCAGAGAGCGAGUGCUUUGCAUGCUAGCUAGAGAUAUUUUUUUUAGAGGAUUCUUUCUUGAGGGGCAAGUCGGGUAGUGAGGAGAGGCGAGACAGGGGGUAAGAGAAAACAGAGAGUGACUUGAAAUAGAGGGAGAUUCUGGUGACUGGCUGUUGGCUUGAGAUGAGGGAACCUAAGAGAAGAGAGAGCUUUCACAGAAGAAGCAAGGAACAGAGGAGAGAGGUUGCGGCUUGCUGAGAAUCAAACGACUUUUGAUCGAAAGGAUCGCUCAAGUUUAGCUAUUUUUACACCUUAAGUUCUCCAUUAUUUCAGUCAUUCCAUUUUUCUUCCUGACAUUUGGAUGUGUAUUUUGGUUGUCUAAUAUGUUAAACCUGUUUCUUAGCUUCCAUUUUCUUAGUCUCUGUUUGUCUUUCUUUUCUCUCUCUGUAUGAGUUGCAUUGUGAUUAUACUAUUUAUUUGUGUUAAAGUGACUCAAAAACUUCCCACUAGUUCUUAACUCUCAUUGAUUUUCAUGGAGAAAAGAUAGAUCUAAUCAUGUUACUUCUUUCACAUGCUUUGUUUCUUGAGUUUUUUUUUUUUUUUUGCUUUUGAAAAAUACCGACCAUUAUUUUGUAAACUACCUGGAAGUUUUGCAAUGAGAGACAUUUGAGGUGAGAGUUGACAAUGAGAAGAAGCGUAUUGCAUUACAGUGUAGAAUGAGGAAUAUUUUGAGGGUAUUUUGGAAAGCUUGAGGGGCAAGUUUACUGAAGAAAAGAAGAAAGUGUAAGAAGUUAACCCUACUUUGAAAAACCCAGAAAAGGUACGAAAUGGAAUGAAGAAGCCAACAACUUACAGAGCCAGCUUAAUGAGUUUGUUGAUUGUUCUCAAACUGAAAAUCUCGUAAGACCUUAGGUAGAUUACUGUAAACUGUCCAUCACUGGAGAAGAAUGUACGGUUGAGAUUUGCAGAAUAGAAGCUUCUGGUACCGGGAAUCAACGAUGAGGGGUGGCUCGAGCAAAAAGGAGUUUGAUGAAUGAAGUGAGCGGCUCGAGAGUUACAGUCUGAGCACGGAUGUGAGCGAGUGUGAGAGUUUGAGUGGCUUUUCGUGUGACGAUGACGGUUAGGGAGGAGGGGUUGUUUCUUCUCUGAAUUACUCGCUGCUCGUCUGACCGAAGGUUGUAGUGAAUUUCAGUUUCAGAGCGCCGCCUCCAUUAACUCUGCCGGUUGCUGGUGGUGGACAUGUGGUGAUUCAGCCACGGAAGCCGGAGAAAGAGUUGCCGCUACCACUGAGGAGUCCGAUUCUGACCACGUCCCAUGCCUCAACUCCGAAUGACAAGAGGAAUCCUUAUUAUUACAAGGAAUUAAAUCCCGGCGAUACCUCUGAAUCCGACAGUAGGGAGUGUUGGGUGGAUUGCCAGAAAGACUGGUAGGAGUUGAAUGAUUCAGCCAUCGCAUGUCUCAUGGAGGCCUAUACGGAGAAGUUUGCACAACUGAAUCAUGGGAAUCUUCAGGAUAAGGAUUGGACAAGAUUUUAUGGAAUACAAUUAGGGCCCACCAUGCCGCAUUCUUGACAUCAAAUUCGCAGUUACAUGCUGAUAGUUUGGUUGAUAAUCUCUUGUGCACACCUCUGUAGCGAAUCUCUUUGUUUUCGGUAACGCCGGUAGUCACGUCGAUAGAUUUGUCUCUCGGCGCCAUUUGUUUUGUGUUUUGGUACAAGUGUUUGUGAAAACAAAGGUAGACAGAAAGAGAAAAAGAUAGAGAGAGAGAGAGAAAGAGAGAGAGAAGUGGCUUCAAGGACACACGUGGCUCACCCUAUGUUUUCAUGCAUGUUUUCAAAAACCCAUUUUAAAAAAAAAUCUCACUUUCAUAUGAUUUUAAGUCUUAAAAUUUUCUUUCUUGAUUUUAAAUAAAUCCAAUUUUAAUAAAUCAAUUCCAAUCAUUUUUUUUUUCACUAGGCUUGCUGAUUGGAGCCAAAAUAUGUGCUCUAAUGGCACAUAUUUGAUAUGAUUUGUGCACCAAAGGACAUUCAAAUCACCCAACUUGACCUAAAUUAAUGCUAAGGCCCUAGCCAUGAGUUUAAUCUGUACUUUGGAGACUUAUCUCAGGUUCAAGGGAAGAAAAUUGUGCAAAUCCAAUGACUUUAGAUUUUGAAAUAUCAAGAAAGGGCUAAAUGAGGAAAUAAGUGAGUCAAGACUCAUUGAACGUAAGGAAAGGAAAAACGAGGAUAUCAUGAGGUUGAAAGAUGAUAAAUGACCAUUAUGGAGUAAGAAAGAAGGCAAGAAAGCAUGGGAAAUGAGGCAUGAAGCAAGAUUUAGCUGCAUGGAAAUUUAGAACUCAAAAAUCUGAUGGCGUUAUAUACUCUGACUUUGAGGACAAAUUUGGAGUACUUUCUAGAGUCCAUUAUAUACAUACUAUAUAUUUUUUUGAAGCUCGGGAAGUCAAGAGUCCAACGCUUCAAACGGUUUGCAAAUCGGAGCUGAAAUGAAGAAGUUAUGGCCAUUUGAAGACAAUUGCACCAAGUUGGAGGGUCAUUUCGAAAUGAUUUCGAAAUUCAACUUAUGAAUUCGAAAACUUAUGAAUUCGAAAUCCACUUCGAAAUGACACCAAUUUCGAAUUCACCCACUGCCACUUUGAUGUUCAGCCUCCUCUACCCCGGGAAUUGCAUCUAUUCAACUUAUGAAUUCGAAAUCCACUUCGAAAUGACACCAAUUUCGAAUUCACCCAUUGCCACUUUGAUGUUCCGCCUCCUCUACCUCGGGAAUUGCAUCUAAAGCACUCCAUCUGCCCUAGGUGGACUCCAUACAACUAGAAAUCACCAUUUUAUUAUUUUUUUAAUCAUUUUUAGGAAAUUAUUUUGUAAUAAGUGGCCAAUGAGAGUAUGCCACAUGUUAGGUAAUUGAGGAUAUUAUGUAAACUCUCUCAAUUCUAGGUUUUAGAGAUCUUGGAUUUUUUUUUGGAGAGUUUGACAUUGAAGGUGGAAGGAGACGAGAACUUUGGUUUGUUUUCUUUUUCUUCUUUAUUGAAAAUAUUGUUUUUAGUUUCUUUCGAUUCAAAUUAUGGAUUUUUACCCUAUUAUGGAUUGUGAAUGUGACAUCACCCCCAUGAGAGGCUAAGAGCCAACUUGGGGCUUGAAGCAUGAAAACCUAAGGGCUAGGAAACCAAUAGGGACAAUGGGCAAAUUAUUAUAACAAUGAGAUUAAUUAUUGGUUGGGUGACAAUUUAUCAUAUUUUUUUAUCCUAUCAUUGUGAGUUCGUUUAGGGAAUGAUACAUUAGGUUAUUACUUGAUACUAGUGAUUCUUGGUAAUUCUUGAUCAUUAGUUAUUUUCGUCUUACCUACCAUUAUUUGCCCCUAAACAAAGCUAUAAGGAGUAGGAAGGGUUAAAAAGCCAAAUCUUAAAUUGAUAAUCAAUCUCAUUCAUUUGAUGGUUUUAGGAAUCUGUUUUAAAAAGGAAAAAUUAGGUUUCGGAUGCAAUUUUGAGUUAUAGAACUCAACUUGAUCGCGAGUGGCCAAGGAUCCCAAAACUCUAAGAUCAUAUUACUUAAAAUACCCUUGUUUUCUCUAAUUUCUAUACCCUAGGUUGGAUUGUGGAAAACCCCAAACUUGAAUCAAUUGAUUUUAAAAUCAUUAUUCAUUUUCUCUUAUUAAUUUAAUUUCUUUUACUUAGUUUCACAUUAUUCACAUAUUGUUUUUCACUUAAGGAUUUAAACAAAAACAAUUCAUUUAUUCUAGUAUUGACAAUUUUCAUAGGCCAGUCCUUGAGAACGAUACUCGGAAUACUACAAAAGCCGUAGUGACUCUUUCUCUAGUUUUUCUUGACUAGAGUUACUACAUAAAAAGGCUAAGUAUUUUGGUACAAUAGAAAAUUUUCGGUCACUUGCAUCUUUUACUUCAUUUUAUUUUUUUAUUUUAUAUUAUUUUCAUUUUUUGUAUUAUUAUUAUUUUUUUCUUUUCUUUGAUUUUAUGUAUUUUCUUUUAAUAAGAAAAUUGGUUGUUAUUCUCUCUUCGGCAAGCCUUUUUUCACAUUUUCUUUGUUUUUUUUAAAAAUGUUUUAAAAUGAGCAUGAAUUUAAUUUUGUAGUUCCAAGAGAAAAGAUUGCAACUAAAUUGCCAAUCCAUCACCGACGUUAUAGAUUGAUGAACAAUACCAAAGGGGGUGUUAUGAAAUAAUGAGAAUAAAUAAUAAGAAAAAUAGAAUAAGAACACAUAGAUAUAUGUGGAAAACUUUAGACGAGAAAAGAUGGAGCACAAGCAAACAAAGAUGGAAAAGGAGCUGACCAGGAAGGUAGAGGAAUUGAGAAAGGAAGCAGAGACAACCAUGUUGAAGGAGCAAAGUCUGUUGGAGGAAAAGGCCAACGGUGAGAAGGCACUGCAAAGGAAAAAAGAAAGUGUAGAAAAGGCCAAUUCCUUUAUCACUACUAAGGCCACCAUUUCAUGAUACAGCCAUAAUAAUGGAUGUUUAAACAGUGUGAUUAGAUAUAAGUUUGCCAUUCAUAUAUGGAAAAUAUUAACAAAACUGAGCUUCGGCUUUCGAUGAGUCCAGGUAAAAUCAAUAUCAAUAUAACCUUAGCAGGUGAAUCAUCAUAGUGAAGUUUUUGGAAUUUCAAUGCAUGAACAUAAAGCCACUAAAAGGGCCCCUACUAUUCAACUGUUAUUGGUUCAAGGGUUGUAUUUAGUCAGCGUAUAAUGAGGUAGAUAUUUUGAUUAUAAGGCGAGUCGCGAGUCUCAAGAAGUGAUCUCGAUGUUUGACCAGAGAGCCUUACACCAUGGGUGUGAUUUGUCAAACAAUAGUUCAUUUCUGCUUCAUGGUUGUGCCUUGAGGUAAGGCUUUAGAGGCAUAAGCCUCAAAAGCCUCUUAAAAUUGGUUCUACACUUCUUUGCAUGGUGAAUGCAAGUUCCAAAUUUUGAUGACUUGGUAAUGUUGGAGUAAUUGUGUUGAAAGCAGUCAAACACAAACAAUUAUUAAAGAAGAUAAAAAUUUUGAAGAAUUAAAAUUUUAUUAUAUUCUACCACUCUUUUUUAUUCAAAUGUUACAUAAUAUCUUAUUUAUAGAUACCAACACUUAACUAAAAAUGACAUAAUUAAAAGUAAAUUAUCAUUUGAUUGCAAUGGAUUCAAUAGAACAUGGUGGAUAUGCUCAAUUUUUGUCCAUCAAUAAAAUUUGAUUUGAGUGAAUAUAAUUAGAGUAAAAUAGUCUUUUUAACUAUCACUUUUACAAUAAAAAGUGUUUUAUUUAAAUAAAUAUUUAAUAAAAUUUUAAAAAUAUUUUUCAAAAAUAAUUAUAGUAUUUUCUAAGAAACAUUUGAUAAAUAAUUAUUAUAAAAAUACUUUUAAAAACACUUCCUUGAAAGUACUUCAAAGUUGGUCAAAUGGUAAGUUAUACAUCAGGAUCUUAAUGAUGGUCCAUGUAACCAUCACCAUUGAUUGUUUUCUAAAACACAACUUCAAUUUAAAUAAUAUUUUAAGGCAAGUCCUAGUUAUCAUAUUUUACAAGAUAUUUUUUAAAAUUAUUGUUUUUUUUUCUUUCAAAAUCCCAAGAGGGAGGUCACCAAUAUGAAAAUAAUGUGACCCAUCUCUAUACUAUUGUCUCCAUUAUUUGGACUACAUAAUAGUUUCCUUAUUGACAACAUGGUAGCCACGUUAAAUACCUACAACUUUGAAAACAAGAUCUCAAAACUAUGCCUAUUUGAUUAUAAGGCUUAAUUAUUAUAGUUUAUCAUUUCCUAGCAUAGUUCUUAGCAUCUAAGUAUUUUUUAUAUAAGAAUUUUUCUUAUUUUUCAAGCUUGCAUUUUGUUUUAAAAAAAUUUGAGUUGUUUACAAUCAUUUUGAAAAUGUCAACUCAUAAUUGUAUACAUUUUAGUUCUAUAAAGACUAAAAUCACUAAAUGUCAUGGUAAUACUAUUUAAGGUAAUUUGCUUUAAAUGAGAAUGUGCUUAUAUACAACUUAUGGUAAUAAUAGAGAUCAAAUUUAAAAAUACAUAAGUUUUAAAUUAUAUAUUAGUAUAUUUAUGUUUCCUUCAUAUUUUUUAUCCUAAAAACACAUUAAAUGUAUGCUCUUGAAUUCCUUCAUGUUUUUGACAUAAUAAGAUUUGAUAUAAUGAUAAAUCAACUAUUAUUAUUUAAUAAUAUGGAGCUUUGACUUUUGACAUUUAAGUAACAUUGUCAAUGAAAGCUUCAUUAUUUUUGCUUCAUGGAAGAGCAAAUGAUGUGAUUGAAUUACACUUCAAUUAUGUUUGAUUGUUUGAAAAUACUCGAGAAAAAUAAAUAUUAAAGAAAAUAAUUUUUUCAUAUUUGAUUUUACUAUAUAAAAAUAAUAUAAUUAAAAUUAGUAAUAGAUUUAAAUAUUUUUAAAUUGCUUAAUCUUUAUAUAAAAGAGUUAAAUAAAUAAAACGAGUUUAAAACAUAAUAUACAGGUAAUUUAUUGACUUUAAAUCUUUUUUUUUUUACUUCACUUUUUCUUUCCUUCUCUUUUUCCUCUAUCUUCUUUCUUUCAUAUUUUCCCUCAUGCUUUUUGGAACUGAACAUAUUCACAUAUAUCCUUGAUUUCUAGUGGGUUUAUGAAAUUUGAGUAGACAUAAUUAAUGGGUCAAUCUUUAUUUUUCAUUUGACAUAAUUAAAAUAUCUCUUUGAUGAGAUCAUCUUAGAUAAAUUGUUAUUUGAUUGCACCAUAUUCAAUCGAAUUUGAUAGUCUAGGUAUCAUAAACCAUACAUGUUGUGCACUAUUUACAGUAAAUGAAUAGCCACAAACCAUACAUAGAGGAGAUGAGAAUUUCAUUAUAAAUCAUACGAUAAUUAUAAAGGAUAUGAUAUUAACUUGCAGUAAAUUGCAACAUUGACACUCUAAUGCUGGAUUGGAGGAUGGGCAAUGGGCUCAGAGUAACUAGACAAAGUAAGUGUGAUUAUUGCUAACUUUCCUCAUCUUUCGUGGGCCUUUUGGGUGUUUUUUGUGCAAAAGGUGCAAAAGGCUAUAACUAAAUUGCCAAUCCAUCACCAACAUUAUAGACUGAUGAAGAAUACCAAUGGGGGUGUUACGAAAUAAUGAGAAUAAAUAAUAAGAAAAAUAGAAUAAGAACACAUAGAUAUAUGUGGAAAACUCUAAACGAGAAAAACCAUGAGAAGAGGAAAAGAAGAUUCGUUAUGUCAAAAAUUGGUACAAAAUGGGAGAGUUGAAAGUGACUACAACAAAAACAUAAUCAUCAUAACCCUAAAACUAUACAUCAUUAUUAUAUAUAUAUAUAUAUAUAUAUAUAUGCGAGAGUUGAGAACAACUAUGGGAUGAGGUCUAUUGACCCGAUCUCUUCACUACCCCCACAAAUCUCUCAAAAAAUCUUAUAAUUUUAACUUUACUACAUAUAUUGCAUCGUGAGCUUUUCGAAUCGAAUAAAAAAGAAUUUGGAAUCAUCAAACUUUAACAAAGGGAGUGAGAUCAUAACUUUGGAAGGAUUUUUAAAAAAAAAAUGUAGACUUAAAUGGUAAAUAUUAAAGUGUGUUUGAGAGUGAUACUCGAAAGUAUUUUCAACAUUUUUAAUAUUUGAAAAAUAAAAUUUUUUAAAUAUUAAAAACAUUAUCUAAAAUCAAUAUCAAAAAGCAUUUUAUAAAAUCAGUAUCAAACUAUCAAACAUAAUUUGAAUUUAAAUAGAGACAAGAACAACAUUGACUCUUGACUCACUAAACCAGUCUCAGUUCACUUAUUGAAUGAAAAGAAAAUAAUUAAAAAUAAAGAACAACAUCCAUGAGUAUAUAUAAUAUAUUCAUUUGCAGCUCUUGAAUGCAAAUAAUUUAAUAAUUUUUUUUAUAAUUAAUUAAUGAAGAUAAAAAUUUGAUAAUUAACAUACAAUUAUGUUGAUAUUUUGACAUUAUAUUCAAUUCACCAAAUAAGAUUGUUUUUCACCCAACAAUAAUUUAUGUAGAAUAAUAAAUAAAUUAAAUUAGUUGGAAGUUAAUUUUAAUUUGAUUUAAUUAAAAAUUGGUUAAAAAAUGUUUUUCAUUUAAAAAUUAAUUGUAGAAUAAUAAAUAAAUAAAUAUAUUCGUAACCAAAGCAUUUGAUUAAAAAUUGGUUUUCAUUUAAAAAGAUAAGUUGGAAAUUAAUUUUAAUUUGAUUUAAUUAGAAAAUUGAUUUUUUGCUGGUUAAGUUUGUUUUAAUUUGUAAAUUCAUGUAAAUAAAAAAAAAGGAUAAGAAGAUAAUUUUCAUGUGAAAAAUCAUUUAAUUUGAAAAUAAAUGAUGUAAUGUGUUUCAUUGGCGGUUAGCACUUAGCAUUUUGCAUUUUUUCUUGUUUGUAUAACUUUUUAAAAUGUAAAAGAUAAUAAUAAAAUAGGAAAUAAUUAAUAAAUUAAAAAAAUAAAAUAAAUGAUCGUUGAUGGCCCCCCACAAAAUGUGUCAUAUGACUUGGAUUAUUUUUUUCUCUUUUUAGUAAAACAAACUUUUAAAAUAAAUAAAAAAUAAAAUAGGACAUAAUUGAAUCCCACUGUUAGUGAAUGCAAAAGGGCUUCACCCAACCAGAAAUAAUUGAAAGGACGCUUUAUUUUUACUUUUUCCAAAGUCUGUAGUAGCAAUUUUAAUGGGAUACAGUUGUAAAGAACCAGACAUCCUCACCACCAUCGUCUCAGACUCUCAGCAUUCAAAGACCCCUUUGAAUUUUCUUCUUCCAAAUUCUGUUCUUGUAAUUUUGUUACAAUCCAACCAUGACUUCCUCUAGCAAUUCUAAGAGACCCUCUUCAUCUUCUUCUUCUUCUUCCAAUUCUAAAUGCUAAUUAAUAAUUGAGAGUGCAAUUAAUAAUUGAGGCAGGACUUUGACUCUCGUGAACCCCCCCACUCUCACUCAAUGCUAAUUGCUAAAGGGUUACGGGCUUACAGCCGAUCAAAGAUAAUUGAGACAGAAGAACCAGACAUCGUCUCACACUUUGUUUUUUCUUCUUCCAAAUUUUGUUACAGUCCAACCAUGGCUUCCACUAGCAAUCCCAAGAGACCCUCUUCUUCUUCUUCUAAUUCUAAAUGGAGGUACGAUGUGUUCUUGAGUUUCAGAGGCAAGGAUACCCGCAACAACUUUACUAGUCAUCUCUACAAGGCUUUGGAUCAUGCCAACAUUGAAACCUUUAUAGAUGAUGAAGGACUUCCAAGGGGAGAAGAGAUUGCGCCCGAGCUCCUAAAAGCUAUUGAAGGAUCAAGGAUUGCCCUUAUUGUCUUCUCGAAAACCUAUGCUGAUUCCAAGUGGUGCUUGGAUGAACUCGUCAAGAUCAUGGAGUGCGAGAAAGAAAAGGGACAACAGGUUUUUCCUAUUUUCUAUCAUGUAGAGCCGUCUGAAGUCAGGAACCAGACUGGGAUUUAUGGAGAAGCAUUUAACAAUCACGAAAGAAAUGCAGACGAGGAGAAGAAGAAGAAGAAGAUAGAGCAGUGGCGGACUGCCUUAAGGAAAGCUGGUAAUUUGAGUGGAUUUCCUCUGCAGGAUAGGUAAUCCCUACUUCACUUUUUCCAUUCCCAAUUUUCUGUCAGUUUAUUUUCAUUCUUGUUAAUAAAUAAAAUAUUUAUGAUUACAUUUAUCAAUCAAAAUCCAUUUUUAAGUAGUAGACAUUAAUAUGUUCGAUUUCUUGGAAAGUAAUAAGAAAGAGUAAAAAAAAAUAAUAAUAAUAAUAAUAAAUGAUUUUCUCACAUUUAAUUUAUUAUUAAAAUUAUAAAAGGAAAUCAAAUAUAAUUAAAAUAUAUCAGAAAAAAUUAUAUUUGCCCAGCAGAUGGAAAUGCCAAGUUUUGAAUUGUUAAAAAUCUUUAAGAUUCCAAAAUAUUCUUCCUUUCUAAUCGAUCCAUCUCAGCCAUAAUUUCUAUCAAUUAAAAAAAAAUGGUAGUCUGUCAAAUAAAUUGUUAAAAUUGGUUAUUUAUAUGCCUUGUAAAUUUGGAGAUAAUCUGAGAUGAUUAUUUAAAAUAUUGUAAUACUACCCUAAAUUUUGUUGGACCUCUUAUGAGACAAAAAACUUAGUUAUUGCACCCUUAACCUUUUUCAAUUUUAGAGGAAUUUUCUAUUACUUAAAUAAUUUUCUCAUGUUCUCUAUGCACUACAUGAGUUUACAUUUCUUCUUUACUUAAUAUUGUUUGUUCCUCUAUAUUUGCAAGUUGAUUAUUAAAUUUAUUUACCUUUUAAUCUAAUGUUUGUAUCUCGUUUUAUUCUAAUUAUCCCAUGACUCUUCUUAAGACCUUGUCUUUCACGUUGAAUCAUCUAAUGCUAAACUUAUUCCCUUGCUAUUCUACUUUGUGUACUCAUGGGAUUAAUAUAUUGAAAUUGAAAUUGUUUUUUUUUUCUCUCUCUUUUUCUCUUGUAUGUUCUACAUUCUUCUAUGCCUCAAUUACAAAUAAAAGCAAGCAACCUUAGAGCUUGUUUGACUUGAAACUAAUGUUCAAAAAAUAGUUUUCCCCAACCCAAUGUUGAAAAUAAUGAACAAAAUUUUAUUUGAAAAUUCAAAUAUGAAAAAAGUCUUUCUCAACUUAUGAACUAUGAAGGUAUUAUAAAUUUAUGUACAAUAUAACUUUUUCUAAGUAUUAUCUAUAUUUUCAUUUCUUUAUCACAAUACUCUAUAAGAAAAUACUUAUAAUCAUCUCAAAUAUGCUCUUAAAAAUGAACUUGUUUACCGAAAAAAAUUUUGAAAAAAAUUUUUAGUAAAAAAAAAUAAAAUAUAUAUUUAAGUUAUUAAACUAUUUUAUAUUCUAGAGAAAAAAAAAUCCAUUUUCAAAAACAAUAUCAAUACAUGCAUUUUUCUUUUAAGUAUCAUUUAAAAAUCUUUUUCCACAAGUCUAAUUGUUGCUAGGCUUUUGACCAACAAACAAACACGUGUCACUUUCCUUGUCAUUCUAAUUUAUAUUUGGAAAAAAAAUGGGGAUUUCAUCAAAAUAUGAAACUUACGUAGCAAUUAUUAACAACCUAAAUAUAAAUAGAAGUACAACUAAAAUGUACUUGUUUACAAAAUAAAUAGUUGAAAGUCUUAUAAGUAUAGAGGAUGGUCAUAAGUCAUGCUAUAAUUAAUAAAAGCAUUGCUAGGUUACAGAACUUGGGUGACAAAUUGGUAGAUUUCUAGCCAAACUAGUAUUGGUCUCUAUAAUAAAAUCUCUUAUCAUAAAAGAUAACGAUACAUUAGAAAGGUCAACUUCAAUUUGGACCUUUAGAAGCAAUUGAGGUAUUUACAUUGUUUUAUUGCACAUAUACUUGACUUAAAACAAUGAAAUUUUAUUCAAACAUGCGACUCAAUACAUUUUUAAUUUACAUUCUAUUUGACCUUAAUUUAGUUGCAUUGAAUGGAGCUAAACACCAUUCUAUAAUUUCCAUUUACUUCAUCUUAGUUUUCUUUGGCAAUUGAUUCUAACUCACUGCAUGUUUUAUUGUACUUUAUAAUGGACAGAUCUGAGGCAGAGUUUAUUGAAGAUAUCAUUGGUGAGAUUAGAAGAUUGAUUCCUAAGUUGGUAGAUGUUGGUAAGAACAUGGUUGGAAUGGAUGGAAAUUUGAAACAAGUGAAGUCAUUGAUAGAUGCCCAAUCAAAUGAAGUGAGCAUGGUUGGGAUUUAUGGGAUUGGUGGGAUUGGUAAAACUACCAUCGCCAAGGUUGUUUACAAUGAUAUGUUAUAUAAAUUUAAACGUCACAGCUUUCUUGAAAAUGUGAGAGAGAAAUCUAAAGGUGGUCGUGGUUUACUUGAAUUACAAGAAAAACUUCUUUGUGAUAUCCUAAUGGAGAAAAAUCUGGAGUUAAGGAAUAUUGAUAAAGGAAUUGAAAAGAUAAAGAGUGAGUGUUGCUUUGAAAAGGUUCUUAUUGUUCUUGAUGAUGUAGAUUGCCCAAGACAAUUAGAAUUCUUAGCUCCUAAUUCUGACUGUUUUCAUCGAGGAAGCAUAAUCAUUGUGACCACGAGAAAUAAACGUUGCCUAAAUGUAUAUGAGUCGUAUUCAUCAUAUGAGGCUAAGGGAUUAGCACGUGAGCAAGCUAAGGAACUCUUUUGUUGGAAUGCCUUUCGAAAACACCAUCCAAAAGACAAUUAUGUGGACCUCUCUAAUCGUAUACUGGAUUAUGCUAAAGGCCUUCCAUUGGCUCUUGUAGUUUUGGGUUCUUUUCUCUUUCAAAGGGAUGUGGAUGAAUGGGAAAGCACAUUGGAUAAACUCAAAACAAACCCUCUCGAAGAUAUUCAAAAGGUACUCCAGAUAAGUUAUGAUGGACUAGAUGAUAAAUGCAAAAAGUUGUUUCUUGAUAUUGCAUGCUUCUUCAAAUAUAAGGAUGAAAAAUUUGUUACAAGAAUACUAGAAGGUUGCAAAUUCCAUCCCAAGAUUGGACUAAGAGUUCUUGAUGAGAGAUGUCUUAUCUCUAUAACGUACGGCACUAUAAGGAUGCAUGACUUGUUACAAGAAAUGGGUUGGGCAAUUGUUCGCCAAAUUGAUCCAGAAUGUCCUGGAAAAUGGAGCAGAUUGUGGGAAUUACAAGAUAUUGAAAGUGUAUUUACCCGAAAUAAGGUAAGAGAAAAAUACAUGAAUAUACUUGAGACCUAAAGACAUAAAAGAUUCAACAAGAUUUAUUUUUAUUAUUAUUAUAGUCUGAGUACCUUAUCUAUAUAAUUUUAUCGAAUCCCUAUGCAUCUUAUACUACUUUUUCUCAAUGCUUGUUUUCAGGGGACAAAAAACAUUGAGGGGAUAUUCAUAAAUCGGUCUUGGGAUACAAAAAAACGUAUACAACUUACUGCUGAAGCUUUCAGAAAGAUGAAUCGACUUAGAUUGCUCAUAGUUAAAGGCAAUAUGGUGCAGCUUUCCCAAGACUUUGAAUUGCCUUGUCAUGAUUUAGUAUAUUUUCAUUGGGAUAACUACCCUUUGGAAUAUUUGCCAUCAAAUUUUCAUGUAGAAAAUCUUGUUGAACUUAACCUCUGGUACAGCAACAUAGAACAUCUUUGGGAAGGAAACAUGGUAUUGCUAUUAUUUAGUUAUAUUUUUGCUCUAGACUAAUUUUAAAGUCUUUUGAAGUUUACUUAUUGAAACGAAUUUUCUUCUGUUACAGACUGCUAGAAAGUUAAAGGUCAUUAAUCUCAGUUAUUCCAUGCAUCUGGUUGGUAUUUCAAGCAUCUCAAGUGCACCAAAUUUGGAGAUUCUAAUUCUAAAAGGUUGUACAAGGUUACUUACUUGUUUCACCCAUGCUUAAUGUUAUUAUUAGUCAUGAGCUAACUGUUUUCUUGAAUAUAAUAGGAUGCAAGAGACUUGAGAGUCUUCCAAGGAACUUUCAUAAGCUGGAAUGCCUUCAAACACUCUCUUGUGAUGGCUGUUCAAACUUAAAAAGUUUUCCGAAGAUCGAGGAAGAAAUGAGAAGUCUAAGAAAGCUUCAUUUAAGUCAUACAGGUAUAAUGGAAUUACCAUCAUCAAUUAGCAAUCUAAAUGGGCUUGAAAAGUUGGACUUAGGUUAUUGCAAAAACCUUUUGAGUCUUCCGGACAGUAUUUUUAGUUUGAGUUCUCUUCAAACUCUGAAUCUAUUUGAGUGUUCAAAACUAGUGGGCUUUCCGGGUAUCAAUAUUGGAAGUCUAAAAGCUCUUGAAUAUUUGGAUUUGUCAUAUUGUGAGAACAUUGAGAGUCUUCCGAACAAUAUUGGUAGUUUUAGCUCUCUUCAUACUCUUUCAUUGAUGGGGUGUUCAAAACUGAAGGGCUUUCCAGAUAUCAAUAUUGGUAGUUUUAGCUCUCUUCAUACUCUUUCAUUGAUGGGGUGUUCAAAACUGAAGGGCUUUCCAGAUAUCAAUAUUGGAAGUCUAAAAGCUCUUCAAUUGUUAGAUUUCUCACGUUGCAGAAACCUUGAGAGUCUUCCGAACAAUAUUGGUAGUUUGAGCUCUCUUCAUACUCUUUUAUUGGUAGGGUGUUCAAAAUUGAAGGGCUUUCCAGAUAUCAAUUUUGGAAGUCUAAAAGCUCUUCAAUUGUUAGAUUUCUCACGUUGCAGAAACCUUGAGAGUCUUCCCAUGAGCAUUUACAAUUUGAGCUCUCUCAAAACAUUGAGGAUUACAAAUUGUCCAAAACUCGAGGAAAUGUUAGAGAUUGAAUUAGGGGUUGAUUGGCCACUUCCACCUACAACCAGUCACAUUUCAAAUUCAGCAAUAAUCUGGUAUGAUGGCUGCUUUUCCUCAUUAGAAGCAUUAAAACAAAAGUGCCCCCUGUCAUCACUGGUAGAAUUAUCUGUAAGAAAGUUUUAUGGCAUGGAAAAAGACAUCCUCAGUGGCAGUUUCCACCUAUCCUCAUUGAAAAUAUUAUCUCUAGGGAACUUCCCUAGCAUGGCAGGAGGAAUCCUCGAUAAGAUUUUCCAUCUAUCUUCAUUGGUAAAAUUAUCUCUUACUAAAUGCAAGCCAACGGAAGAAGGAAUCCCCAGUGAUAUUCGGAACCUAUCUCCACUGCAACAAUUAUCUCUACAUGACUGCAAUCUAAUGGAAGGAAAGAUCCUCAAUCAUAUUUGCCAUCUAACAUCCUUGGAAGAAUUACAUCUGGGUUGGAACCAUUUUAGUAGCAUUCCUGCUGGCAUCAGUCGACUUUCCAAUCUAAAAGCCCUUGACUUGAGUCACUGCAAGAACCUUCAACAAAUUCCAGAGCUUCCAUCAAGUCUACGAUUUUUAGAUGCGCACUGUUCGGAUCGUAUUUCAUCAAGCCCCUCGCUUCUACCUAUUCAUUCUAUGGUCAAUUGCUUCAAAUCAGAAAUUGAGGUAUGAUUCUCAUGCCACGUUCCUUUUUCUUUCGUACCCAUUGGAUUUACAUGGUGCUUUUGUGCAGGACUGCGUGGUUAUUCAUCGUUAUUCUUCCUUCUGGGGCAAUGGAAUUGGUAUUGUUAUUCCUAGAAGUAGUGGAAUUCUAGAGUGGAUAACGUAUCGGAAUAUGGGAGGGCAUAAAGUAACAAUAGAGCUCCCUCCGAAUUGGUAUGAAAAUGAUGACUUGUGGGGAUUUGCUUUAUGCUGUGUUUAUGUUGCACCUGCCUGUGAAUCUGAGGAUGAAUCUCAGUAUGAAUCAGGUCUUAUAUCUGAGGAUGACAGUGACCUUGAAGAUGAAGAAGCAAGCUUUUAUUGUGAAUUGACAAUCGAAGGAAAUAAUCAAUCAGAAGACGUGGCUGGUUUCGUUCUUGAUUUUCGCUGUGUUAAGGAUGAUGUAUCAGAUAUGCAGUGGGUGAUAUGUUAUCCCAAGUUAGCUAUUGAGAAAAGUUAUCACACCAAUCAAUGGACACACUUCAAGGCUUCAUUUGGUGGGGCCCAAGUGGCAGAGUGCGGAAUCCGUCUGGUAUACACAAAAGAUUAUGAACAGAAACAUCCAACAAUGGCACAAGGCAGUACUUCUCAUGGGAAUUUUGGUGAGCAUGGAUCAGUAAGAGAAGAUGGCAGUACUUCUCAUGGGAAGUUUGGUGACCAUAGAUUAGUAAGAGAAGCUUUACUACUCUAAAGAUACUAAUAGUAAAGAUCACAAUAAAAGGAAUCCCACAGAACAGAGCCCAGGAGAGGAGUCACGUACACCAUAAAAGAUUCAGAGAAACCCAAGACUGAUCCCAAGCAUUAGGCUCAACCACACUUGCAUCAAUAAUGUUCUCUUCCUGGUAAUUCAUCUUCUUUUCUCUUUCAAAUUCAAAGGUCAGAAAUUUUUUUAUCAUGUUUCUCCUUUUUAUUUGUUUUUUCCCCAAGACAAACAAAAAUUUGUGGCUAUCAUCCAUGGGUGCAAACUUCAAUGGUACACCUCCCAAGUUUGUUUUUCUCUCUCUCCAACCGUCUCUCCCUAGAUUUUUCUGCAUUUUCUUCAAACUCAUAUUUCUAUAUGAAAUUCAAUUACAUUCGAGCAUUUCAAUCUCUGUAGCUAAUGUCUGAAUCAUUUCUAGGGUUUCUUUUUUCUGGAAGUUUGUAAUGUUAUUGAUUUAUGACUUGAUGUUUGGGGAUGUUUUGGGUGGCUUGUUCACUUUUUUAUAGCGAUGAUUUAUGGAACCAGAGUUUCUUAGCAGGAAAUGGAACUCGUGUGUUUUAGAAUAUUGGCGUUAUUUGCUUGUGCCCUGUUUGGUUGCUGAGAAAGAGUGGAAGGAGGAUGGAGAAUUAAAUAAUUUUCAAUCUAAGCAAUGAGAAAUUAGAUUUGGGUAUUUGGGCCAUUGGAGUUAUUUGCUCUUACUCAGUUUGGUUUCCAGGAAACUGCAGGCAAAGCAUGGAAAAUAAAGUAUUUUUAAAUUAAUUACCAGGAAAUGGAAUGUACGUAUUUGUCUCUUUGGAAUAUAAACAUCAGUAUUCACUCUUCAAGAAUGUAUAUGGUUGUUGUUUUGGAAUUUUGAAAUUACUUAGCAUCAGACAAUUUCUAACUUGGGAUUUGGAUUGGGAAUCAUAAGUAAUCAUUAGAGAGUAUAUGAGAAGGAGUUUUAGAGUAAGACAGGGUGAUGCAUGUUGAGGGAUGCGUCUCACCCUGGAGUUCUUUGGAAUAAUUAUAGGAUUUUGUAAGUAACUUUGGACUUAUUAGCAAUGUUCUGGAUUUGUGAAUAAUUUAUAGAAUACAUUGGGUGUUUUUUUUUUUUUUUUUUUUUGAGAGUGAAUAAUGUAUGACUGUACUCUUCUCUAUCUCUGUGGUAUGGCACACGUAUGAUUUGGUGCUUUUUUGCAGGCCUUCAACAGCAGCAAAGCAUCUGGUGGCUUGCAGUACUAAUCUUGCAUUAUAUUCUCUGUUUUGCAAUCAUUUGGUACUGUUUGUCCCAACCAAGGAUAGCUCUGUGCAAGCAGUCUCGACUGUGGAACAAGUAAAACAAAUGGUACCUGCUGAAGCUGAGAGGGCAGAUGAUAAGCUGGUGCGGAAGGUGGUCAACCAAAAGAAUCAGACAGCAAAAACUAAAAAGCCCAUCAAGCCUGCUACUGAAGCAGCCUCAGCACCUGUUUCUGGGAGGGGUGAGAUUGAAGUGACUGAAGAAAAGGAGCAUGAGCAAACAAAGAAGGAAGAGGAGUUGGCCAGGAAGGUAGAGGAAUUGAGAAGUGAAGAAGAAGCAGCCAUGUUGAAGGAGAGAAAGCCAACGUUAAGGAGGCACUGGAAAGGAAACAAGGAACUGCAGAAAAGGCCAAUUUCUCUGUGAGUGCUGCCACCUUUUCAUAAUAAUGGAUGUUAAAAGCAGUCUAACUCUACAUGGCGUUUAUUUUCCCCAGCCAUGGAUUGGAAUCUGCCAGUCUAACUCUCAUAAGAAACAAAAUUUUCCAUCCUCAUAUGGAUUAUUGGAGAAGAUUUUAACAUGGAGUUCACUAGAGAGUUUCUAACACCCACUCAAAAAGGACAUUUUAGAGAACUUAUUGAAAAGUUACAUCAGAGUACAUAAAUUUUUAGAUAUUUUUAAAAAUAUCUGAAAAAUUAAAUUAACUAAAAGUAUUUGAAAAAUAUUUGAUUGAAUUAAUAAAUAACUAGUAUUUGCAUAUGAAAAAAUAGUAAACAUAGUCAAUAAUUUUUUUUUUAAUAAUUAGCACAUAAUAAUCAUAAAUUAAUUUAUGGCAAGACCUCAUAUUUGUUGUGGUGACUGUGUUGUCUUACCAUUCUUCUUUCAUGAUGGGCUUAAAUUUUAAUUUAAAUGUAGUAUAAAUAUAUAAUUAGAUUGAUAUUUCGUCCACUAGAAUUGAUUGGGUCUGAAUUUGAACCCUGGUCUUGAAUUUCUUGGCCCAACCAACGAAAUCAUUGACCAACGGCCCUUAGUUUGGGCUGGGCUUGAUGGUCCUCAGGUUAUGCAGGCUUAAUACUGAUUGGGUUUGGGCUUCCAUGCAGUUGUACUUGGAUUCUAUGUUUCCUAAUAUUAACACUAAAAUUAGGUUUAAUUUAUUAACACUAAAUUAGGUUUCAUUUAUAAUUAAAUAUAAUUAGUUUGAGAAUAACUCCAAUCUUUAGUUAAACCAACUAAGUUUUAUGCAAAGGUUUAUAUUCCUAAUACCAUUGAAAAACUAAAUUUAUGUGGAAGUUUGACUGAUACCAACAUUAAAUUAUUAAGAUAAAUUGAAAAAAAAAAAAUCAUGCUCGUAUGUCCUGUUGUUUGUCAUAAGAAAAUUUCUUUUCAGAUUUUUUUUUUCUUUUAAUACAUCUUUACAUUUUUAAUAACAAUCCAUAGGAUUGUUCCCAAACAUAUAUCAUAUAAAUAUAUCUUUUUUGGAUUUUUAAGAAUGUUGUCAAACAAACUCAUAAUACCAUUCUUUCUUUACAAUUACCAAUCCAUAUGAUGAAUUUAUUCCUUUCAAUAACUGACAUCAUCUAAUAAAAAUUAUAAUUAGGUAUUAUAUUUAAAAAGUGUUUAAUAAAUCAAUUUAAUAACUUAAGUGAUUUAAUAACUUAAUUUAAAUUAUUAAAAUAAUUUGAUGUCACAAUUUAAAGUUAAAAUUGAUUUAAUUAAUUUUUAUUUAAAUUUAAAACUAUGUUUACAAAAAAGGCUUAAAAUUCAUAUCAAUUAAGAAAUUAAGUUAUUAAGUUACUUUAAGUCAUUAAAUUAAUCUACCAAUUAAACACCCUUUAAGAUAUGAUAUAAAGUUCACCUCCUACAUAUCAUGAAAAUUAAAAAUUAAUUACCACAUCAAGAAUCUUUAGUUCCUAAUCGAUUUAAUAUUUAAUCCUUGGUUGUGAAUUUCUUUAUAUAUGUAGAUAUAUUUUUAUAUUGCAAGUGGGCUGCCGACUUUUCAUUUUAUACUAGUUUUGAAAAUAAGAUUGUAGUUUUUAUUUUGUCCAAAUCUAAUUUGGAGGGAGAAUCUUUAGAGGCUAUUUUAUAUUCAAAUAGGAAAAUUUUAAAUUUAAUAGUCCCACCUUAUAAAGGCAAAUAUCUUGGACCCUACAUGGGUGCCUCUUACAUGCAUGCACGAGGACAAAGACUUAUUGAAAGCCUCUCUCAUUCACAUGGAUGCCAUCAUUCAUCGAAGUUGAAACAUGAAACCCACACAAAAUAUUUGGGCAAAAGCAACUUCAAUAUUUUUUUUCAUUACUAUAGCUGAGAAUCUCAAUAUUAUUAAAUAGUAAUAAAAUUAAUUUUAAUAUUUUUUUUCUUAUUUUUUCCUCCUUGUGGUUAUAUUUUCAUCCGGAAAGUAUUAAAUAUUAAAAAAGAAUAAAAUUUAAAAAUUAAUUUUUCAUAUUUAAUUAUAUUGUGAAAAAUAUAAAAUAAAAUAUAAUAUAAUUAAAAUUAGUUAAAAUUUUAUAUUUUUAUAAAAUUAUUUAACUUUUUUAUAAAAAUUUAAAAUAAGUGACAUGAGUUUGAAAUAGUAUACAUAUUGACUUUAAAUUUAAUUUUUAUAUUUUUCAUUUUUCUUUUUAACUAUUCUUCUUUCUUCUCUUUCUCUCAACUUUUCCUUCAAAUUUUCCAAUAACCAAACAUAACCUAUUUGUUUCAUAAAAACUCUUUUACCUUUUUAAAUUUUUAAAAGAGUUGCUUACAUAAUAUGGAGCUAAUAGUAUUACUUGUACCUAUUAAUUUCUUUUAAGAUUAAAUUGUUCUAACUUUGUGUGAUAAAAAGUUUGUAAAGUCCAAUUUUACGAAAGAAAAUAUAUGAUUAGUGACUCCCUUGCAUUUCCUUUGGGAUUCACCCCUUCAUACUUACCGUAAAUAGUUGUACCAAUUAAUCAAACAAAAAACAUAGCAUGUAAAUAGUAAUAUGUUAAAGUUUUCUAUCGUGCCUAAGUUUAAUUAGUUCUACUUAUUUAUAUAUUGAAAUGAAAGUAAGCAUAUAUUUAAGUGGUCCAUCAAAUUUGAAACUAAUCUAUUGUAAUUACAUUCAUGUCUAUAUCAUUUAUAUUGUACAUAACUUGAGUACAUUAAAAAUUGUACAAAAAAUCCAAAUUACAAGGAAGUUUAUAUAAACUCUCUUAGGAUUAGACACUGUUAGUCAUUGCCUUCUAAAAAGCUUUCAUCUCUUUCUCCCUCAAGAGGUUUGUAGUCACUUUACACAAGUGUCAAAACUCAAAAGAGUGAUCUAAUGAAGAUGACGAGGUGAUUGAGAUCCUUUUCAUAAACUGGAGUUUGAUAUGGGAACAUUCAUAUCGAAGGUAAAAAUUUUUAUCAGCAACUAGACUUACUUUUAUCUUUCCUUAUAAUUAAACCCAAUAAUCCUAGGUUGUUAGAGACCACACACCUAUGAUCCAAGGGUUUUCCCAACAAGGAUAUCAAUAAAUCUUUCUACUCUAUUGAUGGCAUCUUGAAUUCUUUCAAAUUAAUCACUUCAUUGUAAUCGUUAUUCACUAAAUCCCAUAAAUCUUGAGAUCUAAACAUGACAUUCAUAUGAAUGCAUCAAUUAUUAUAAUUCUUACUUAUGAAUUUUGAAAGUUGAGAUUCAAUUGAGUUAUUAUUUACCAUCAUUACUUUAACAACCAAAUUGCAAAUUUCUUUAUACUAUUCACAUUCUCUGGCAGCCUUUGACCUUCCCUAAUCUUUAGCCUCUAGCUAAUACCACUUGUUUGAGCUCCCAUAAUUGGGCAGCAUUGACAAUAAUUUACUAAAAUAACAUUUUAUUCUAUCCUACUCUCUCUUUGUCAACAUAAUAAUAAACCUCUAUUUAAAAUAAGUUGAUCAUAUUUGCAUUAUCACUCUAAUUCAUAAUUAGAUUGGGAAACCUAAUUAAUAUCAAAUAAAUAACCAUUCCUAAUAUUUCUCAAAUUUAUAAAAUUCUUCUAAUUUGACUUUAAAUUGAUUUUUUAUUUUGACUAUAUAGCUUAAAAAGGAUAAUUUUUUAAAUAAUUAUCAAUUUCAUAUAAUCUUUAUAAGCAUUUGUGUUCAUAAAUUCCUUAUUAUGAUAUUAGGUUUUAGACAAUUUGACAAUAUGAUGAUGUUUUGGAAUGAAUGUUAAGUGAAUCCGUUUUACUCAAAACCAUUAAAUAAAAAAAAAAGACAGUUACACAAGUAAAAUAGUAGAUUAUUGAAGGCCAGGAGAAAAGAAGAGGAAAAUGAAAUAUUAUAUCCCUAUAAUGAGUUAGGUGGAUAUUUCAUGUGAAAAGUUUAAUGUGCAAGGUUGUUCAUGUCUAUUGAGUUUUGGGUAAUCAUUUUUUCAUGGAAAUUUUUUAUGGAAUCCUAAUCUUAGAAAGCAAUAGGAAAUUUUUUUACCAAGAUUUCUAAGAAAUAACUACAUCAAAGUGUAAGAAAAGUAUCAAACUAGAAUAUCUAAGAAAUUACUACAUCAAAGUGUAAUAGAAACAUCAAAUUAGAAAGUGAAAUAUAAUACAAUUCAACUAUGAAAAUGAAGGACAAAGGAAUAGACUAAUUGCCAAAGGAAAAUAGUCUUUUAGUUUUAAUCAGAAAUUUCUUAUAUCAUAAUUAUGACCUGUAGAGGCCACAUGGGUUGUUGGCCUUGGAGUGACUAAAAGGUACAACUAAAAAACGUCAAACAUUUGGAGAACUAAAAGAAAACAUGGAUAAAAUUUUUUUACCUAGAACAUUUAUAUAGAAAUAUUUUAUUUUUUAUUUUUAAAAAAUUAGUAAAGGUAGUAAAGUUUUUUAAAGAUUAUUUUGCGCCCUAAAAACAAAUCGUAAAGGCUUGUUAAAGAUUAUUUUGGAUAUGUUUCAUGCAUUAAUUUUUUUUAACAUUUCAAAUUUUUAAAUGAUUUUUAAAAGUUAUUACCUUUUAAAAUGUAAAUCUCAUAGAGUAUUUGCAUUAUAUAGGAAUUACUAUCAUUUUUAUUUUUUUUAAAAAAGAGAAAUGUAUUCAAAUAAUACCUUAAUUUUUCAUUUUCUAGUAUAAGGAAAUGAUUAUAUCUCACACAAACCUUGUUCAGAUACAUAUUUCAAAGUGAGAAAAAAAAAAUUCUUUUAGAGAAAAGAAGUCCUUCAAAAAGAAGAAAAAAAAAGGUUUUUCAAAGAAGAGUUAGAAGGAAAAGUGAAUUCAAUCUUAUAAUCAGCUAACAUGAUGUUGUUUGAUUACAUUUUUUAUUUUCUAUUUUUACAAAUAAAAUAUAAUAAUAACUCCUAUAUGAAAUAUAGAACUCUUUCAAACUUACUUUAAAAACAUAAUAAUAUUUAAAAAUUAAGAUAAAUUGUGAUAUUAAAAAAAAAAUUACUUCUUCAAAUUUUAAAAAUUAUGAAAAUAAAUUUUUAAUGACAUAAGAUAAGUCUAUAAAUUUUACAUAAAAGUUAUUAUAUUUUAUAUAGAAACUAUUACUAUUUUCUAUUUGUAAAAAUACAAAAUAAAAAAUAUAUCCAAGCAAGUACUAUGAGAAAUAGUUUCUAACAUUUCUUAUUAAGAAAAUGAGAAUAUUAAGAAGUAUAUUCCUACUACAUUGUUUUUUUUUUUAAUUUGAUAUCAACCCAUUCUAUUAGCUCUUUUGAGAAAUAUAGAAAAAUAACAUUACAUAAUUGCAUAGAACAAGAAUAUUAUUUAAGUUUGAGGCAAGUGUUAAAAAGAUAUUGUAAUUCUGUUACGUUGUUUAACUUCAAUGUCCUAUAUGUAACUGUUAGGAAUUUGAGGCUAAUCCAAACUAUAGUAAUCACCCUAGAGGGAGGGGGGGGGGGGGGGUAAAUAGGGUGAUGAUCUCUUUUUCACAAAUCUAAACUAUGCAAAAAUAAGAGACAAUUAUAUGUAAAUAUAUAAUAAACACAAUUACAUAUAAUUUAAAAAAUUUGGGAAAAAAAAGUGCAAAACCGAAAACUUAUAAUGGGUCGACACUUCCUUGGCCACCUUCCCUCUCCUUAAACCCCUAAACGAAUGAGGGUUCCCCUAUUUUGAAGCUUCCACCAAGCUUCCAAACCCUUUACAAAUGGAUUAAGGUUUCCAAUCCCCCUUUUGNNNNNNNNNNNNNNNNNNNNNNNNNNNNNNNNNNNNNNNNNNNNNNNNNNNNNNNNNNNNNNNNNNNNNNNNNNNNNNNNNNNNNNNNNNNNNNNNNNNNAGAGAGUGCAAACACGAGAGCUUAUAGUGGUUCGACACUUCCUUGCCUACGUCCACUCUCCUCAACCUCCUAACCGAGUGAGGGUUCCACUAUCUUGAAGCUUCAACCAAGCUUCCAAUCUCUUUACAAUUGGAUUAUGGUUCCAAUUCACCCUUUUGGACUUUUGGCUCCAAGCACCCUUUACACUUCUCAAAAGUUAUCCCACUCUUGAACAACCUCUCAAGUGAUACCCCUCACUUGAGAAAAUUCCUCUCAAAGAUAUACAAAGAUUGAUCUCACAAAAAUUGUAGUAAUAGAACUUUAAGCUCAAAUGAUACAAGAGAAACUAGGAUUGAAUGGUGCACUAAAGAUAUGCAAGUUUUGGAAUAAUGGUGCACUCAAAAAUACUCUUCCAAGGCUCAAAUAUAAUCAAGAAAGAUUUGGGAAGGUUUAGCUUAUCAAACAACGAAGUUUGGAGCCUUUUUAUAGAAGAAAAAAGUCAUACUAGCCGUUGGGGGUUUGAUCGGUCGAGCUAAGGGUCGACUGGUUGACUAACCAUUAGGAAAAGUGACUGUUGAGCCUCAACCGGACCUCAACCGGUUGAGGUUCAACCUUGACCGGGAAGAGAAGGCCACUAGGAGAGAGAGAAAGUUUUUGGCCUCCCUCAACCGGUCCUCGACCGGACGAGCACAACCAAUCGACCAGUUGAACCGGUUGAGCCAUUUUUUUGGCUCAACACUCAACAUUUUUCAACUUAAAACCUUUUAACACAAAUUUGAAAAUCAUUUAACACAAGGUUUUAGUUGAAAACAUUAAAUCAUCCAAUUCUUAAGAUAUUUAAAACAAUAUUACUCUUGGAUAAUUUUGGUGCAUAAAUAAAUAAUGAAAUGCAUGAAAGUCCUAGUGCACCAACAACCUUACAAAGAGAUCCUAAGAAGCUUUGGUCUUGAAAAACUCUUCUCUUUGAGGUGGUCUUCUUUUUCAUGAUUUCUCCUUGACUUGAUUUGUCUUUGGAUUGCCACUUUGGAAGUCGUCUUGCCUAAUCACACUUGAAAUAUGAUCAUUAGUUCUAAACCUUGUUUUGUUAUCAUCAAAAUCAAGAUUAACCAAACCUUGGUUUCACAGUAACGACUUGUUCCCAACCAUAUAGAUAUUGUCCGCUUUGGACCCAAAUGGGCCCUCACGGUUUUUAAAACUCGUCUACUUGGUUAAGAGGAACUUCUACAUAUAUAGCGUCAGACUUUCCCCCCUAUCCGAUGUGGGAUGUCACAAACACCCCCCUCCCCCCCUCCAUGUAGACACAACGUCCUCGUUGUGUCCCAUGGGAUUGUAGGGUUAAAUAGACAAACACCCCUUAUGAGGUCAAACAAACCCCAACACCGGGGUCGGGGAUCGACUCUGAUACCAUUUAUCAGAAUCCGUACUCAAUUAUAUAUAUAUUGUCCGCUUUGGACCCAAAAGGGCCCUCACGACUUUAAAACGCGUAUACUUGGUUAAGAGGAGUCUCUACACAUAUAGCACCAAGAACUUUUCCCCCUAUCCAAUAUGGGAUGUCACACUAUAUAUGUGUAACAAUUUUUCUUUAAAAAAAUUAGAGGACUUAAAAUGGGCUCUUGUCAACCUUAUUGAUAUUUGAUGUCAAAGGGAUACAACCAACCACCACAAAUAAUUGAGAGAAAAGAAAGGAAAUAAUAAUAAGAGGUAGGCCCCGGGCUCUUGUGAACCUUAUUGAUAUUUGAUACCAAAGGGAUACAACCAACUCCCACAUUUAAUUAAGAGAAAAGAUUGGGAUAUCCUCACCACCAUGUCUAGAUUGCUUUAGUAGGACCAAGAGAAGUCAUUCAGCAUCCAAAGAUCCUCUUCUUCUUCUUCUUCUUUUAAUUCUAAAUGGAGGGACAAUGUGUUCUUGAGUUUCAAAGGUGAAAAUACUCACAAAAGCUUUACUAAUCAUUUCUACUGUAUAUCUUUACUUGUAAUAAAUGUAUAAGAUAUUUGUAUUAACUGUAUAAAACAUGUACAGACCUGUAUAUCUUGAAUUUAUUAAUAUGUUUUUCUUCAUUUUCUUUGUUUUCCAUACCAAAAUACUAAAAAAAUUAUUUACAUAAUUUUUUCUUUUCACAUUUUCAUAUGUAUACAAGACACUUAUACUAAAUGUACAAGAUAUUUUCAUAUUUUGACUAAUGCCUAUACAAAUAUGCAAAUAUAUUGACAAUAGGCAAACUCAUACUAGUCUUGUAUAGUUAUGACAAAUGUCUUAUACAUUUAGGGUGUGUAUACAAUGUUUUCUAAUUCUUUGUAUAGUUAAUACAAAUGUCAUAUAUAUUUUUGAAAAUGUAAAAAAAAAAAAAAGAAGUUAUAUUUGACAUUUACACAUUAUAUAUAAACAAUAUUUCAAUUUAAUAUGGAAAAUGAAAAAAAUGCAAAUAGAUAUAUGUGAAGGGUAAAAAGAGUAUUUUUGUUCGUAAAAUUUCAUGUACUUAAACAUGAAGUAUGCAUCUUUUCACAGAUGUUGGCCAAAUUAUGAACCUCAAACACAAUUGUUUUAAAGAGAAAUGUGAAGAAAAAGAAUAUGAAUGGUAGUUGUAAGAAAAUUAAAAAAUAAAAUCAUUGACUCUUCACUCUACCAAACUAGGGAUGACAACGAGGCGAGUUUGGGAUGGGGCCUCGUUCCGUUUAACUUUUUUUUUUAAUUACUUAAAAUUUUUUUAAUUAUAUUAAAAUAAAUAUAUUUUAUAAAUAAUUAAAUUAUUAUAUUUUUAUAACUUAUUUUAUUAAAAAAUAUUUUUUUUAUUAUUUAUAUAUUAAAAAUAGUAAAAUUAAAAUUAAAAUUAAUUUAAUUUUAAAAAUUAAUUUUAUAUAUAAUAGGGGUGGAGCAAGAUAAGGCAAUAGCUGAAUCUGUCCUGGGUUUUAAAAAGAUUCCCAAACCUGUCCAAAACUCAUUUAGUUAAAAUUGAAACUCAUCCAAUUACGAGCGGGUAUCCGAAAAAACUUGUCCUAUUGUCAUCCCUAUACCCAACCACACUAUCAUCCAAUGAAUAAAACGAAAAUAACUAAAAUUAAGGAACAACCCAAGAAUCAAUGACUUCCUAGCAAGCCCAUCCAUAUCCCAACACGGACAAAAAUAUUUUAAUUUUUUUGCCUUAAAAAUCACGCAUGAAGCUUCCUAGAAAUUUCAUACUUCUUUGUCAUUAUCUAUAUUUUCUACUUCUUUUUCAUCGUCAAUAUUUGUGUAUAUAUAUAAAAUAAAACUUGCAAGAAAAUACAAAAAUGAUAGAUGGCAAAAUGGUUUUUAUGUUAAGAAGGUUCUAAAUUUUUCACACCUUUACAGUAUAAAAAAAAAAAAAAAAAAAAACUUUUUAAAUACAGAACUAUUUCGGACUUGAAUCAUUUUGAAAUUCAGAGACUUGAAAAGUGUUUGUUGGACUUGAAGGAGUUUGGAGUUAAUCUUGAACUUAGAUAUGUUUAGAAAUCAAAGUGGAUUUGAAGAAGAUUGAAAUCCACGACAUGACAACACUGUAAUAUGAAUAGUGUUUUGUCAAAAAAAAUUACUAUUUACUAUUUACUAGGGCAUAAAAGAAAAAUACAAAAUAAUACUCUAAAAAUGCGAAGGAAAGAUUGUUGGUCGUUGAAUAAGGGGAAAAAAAAGAAGAAAAGUAAAAUGUGAAAAAAAAAAGCUUCAAGAGUGCAAUUAAUAAUUGUGGUAGGCCCUGACUUUUGUCUUGUGAACCCGCCUAUUAUUGAAUGGAAAAGGGAUAUAGCCAACCAAAAUAAUUGAGAGUAAAGAAAGGAACACCUCACCACUAUGCUCCAAAUUGAGAGAAAAACAAAGUCAGCCGGCAUCCAAGGACAUUUUUAUUAAAAAAGUAAAGAAAAGAAAUGGUGCUUUAGCUAUUAUCAUAUCAACUCCUAGGAAAUAAAUGAAAAGAACAAGUAAAUGAAAAGAAACAAAAAAAAAAGUUCUUAGAAUGCAAAAAGAAGAUAUUGGAUAUUGAAUGCCCAAAAGAGAAAAAAAUAAAAUGGUAAGAUGUAAAGAAAAGAGUCAGAAAAGCUUCACAAUUGCAAUUAAUAAUUGAGGUACGACUUGGACUUUUGUGAACCCUCACUGUUAAUGCUAAAGGGUUACAGCUAAGGAAAGGAUAAAUGGGAGAGAAGAACAGGACAUCCUCACCACCAUCGUCUUAGCAUCAAAGACCCUCUUUUUUCUUCUUCCAAAUUCUGUUCUUGUAAUUUUGUUACAAUCCAACCAUGGCUUCCUCUAGCAAUUCUAAGAGACCCUUUUGUUCUUCUUCUUCUUCUAAUUCUAAAUGGAGGUACGAUGUGUUCUUGAGUUUCAGAGGCGAGGAUACCCGCAACAACUUUACUAGUCAUCUCUACAAGGAUUUGGAUAAGGCCAACAUUAAAACCUUUAAAGAUGAUGAAGAACUUCGAAAGGGAGGAGAGAUUGCACCCGAGCUCCUAAAAGCUAUUGAAGAAUCAAGGAUCGCCAUUAUCGUCUUCUCGAAAACCUAUGCUCAUUCCAAGUGGUGCUUGGAUGAACUCGUCAAGAUCAUGGAGUGCCAGAAAGAAAAGGGACAAAUAGUUUAUCCCGUUUUCUAUCACGUACGGCCGUGUGAAGUCAGGAACCAGUAUGGGACUUAUGGAGAAGAAUUUAAGAAACACGAGAGCAAUGCGGACGAGGAGAAGAAGAAGAAAAUAGGGGAGUGGAGGACUGCCUUAAGGAAAGCCGGUGAUUUGAGUGGAUUUAGUCUGCGGGAUAGGUAAUCCCUACUUCACUUUUUCCAUUUCCAAUUUUCUGUCAGUUUAUUUUCAUUCUUGUUAGUAAAUAAAAUAUUUAUGAUUACAUAUAUCAAUCAAAAUCCAGUUUUUAAGUAGUAGACAUUAAUAUGUUUGAUUUCUUGGAAAGUAAUAAGAAGAGUUAAAAAUAAAUAAAAAUAAAAAUUUAAAAAAUUUGAUUUUCUUAUAUUUAAUGUAUUAUUAAAAAAUAUGAAAGAAAAUAAAAAUAUAAUUAAAAUACAUUGUAAAAAUAUAUAUAAUUAGUUUAUAAUUAAAAUAAUCUUAGAAAAUCUAUAGUAGUUGUUCUGGGCUCAUUCAGGCCCAACAGGUAAUCCCUAUUUCACUUUUUCCAUUACCAAUUUUCUGUCGGUUUAUUUUCAUUCUUGUUAAUAAAUAAAAUAUUUAUGAUUACAUUUAUCAAUCAAAAUCCAUUUUUAAGUAGUAGACAUUAAUAUGUUUGAUUUCUUGGAAAGUAAUAAGAAAGAGUAAAAAAAAAAAUUGACUUUCUCACAUUUAAUUUAUUAUUAAAAUUAUAAAAGGAAAUCAAAUAUAAUUAAAAUAUAUCGAAAAAAAAAAUAUUUGCCUACAAUUGGGAUAAUAUUAGAAAAUCUAUAGUAGGUGUUGUGGGCUCAUUCAGGCCCAGGUAAUACUGGUAAAAAAAUAAAAUAAAAUAAUUAUGCCAAAUGCCAAGUUUUGAAUUGUUAAAAAUCUUUAAGAUUCCAAAAUAUUCUUCCUUUCUAAUCAAUCCAUCUCAGCCAUAAUUUCUAUCAAUUAAAUUGUUCAAAUUGGUUAUUUAUAUGCUUUGUAAAUUUGGAGAUAAUCUGAGAUGAUUAUUUAAAAUAUUGUAAUACUACCCUAAAUUUUUUUGGACCCUCUUAUGGGACAAAAAACUUAGUUAUUGCACCCUUAACCUUUUUCAAUUUUAGAGGAAUUUUCUAUUACUAAAAUAAUUUUCUCAUGUUCUCUGUGCACUACAUGAGUUUACAUUUCUUCUUUACUUAAUAUUGUUUGUUCCUCUAUAUUUGCAAGUUGAUUAUUAAAUUUAUUUACCUUUUAAUCUAAUGUUUGUAUCUCGUUUUAUUCUAAUUAUCCCAUGACAUCUGGAUAAUCUCUUCUUAAGACCUUGACAUGACAUAAUGAAAUUUUAUUUAAACAUGCAAUUCAACACAUUUUUAAUUUACAUUCUAUUUGACCUUAAUUUAAUUGCACCGAACUAAAGAUCAUUCUAUAAUUUCCAUUUACUUCAUCUUUGUUUUCUUUGACAAUUGAUUGUAGCUUACUCCAUGUUUUAUUGUACUUUAUAAUGGACAGAUCUGAGGCAGAGUUUAUUGAAGAAAUCAUUGGUGAGAUUCGAAGAUUAAUUCCUAAGUGGGUACAUGUUGGUGAGAAUAUUGUUGGAAUGGAUGAAAAUUUGAAAAAAGUGAAGUUAUUGAUAGAUGCCCAAUCAAAUAAAGUGAGUAUGGUUGGGAUUUAUGGGACUGGUGGGAUUGGUAAAACUACCAUCGCCAAGGUUGUUUACAAUGAUAUGUUAGAUCAAUUUAAAUGUCACAGCUUUCUUGAAAAUGUGAGAGAGAAAUAUGAAGAUAAAGGUGAUUUGCUUCAAUUACAAAAAGAACUUCUUUGUGAUAUCCUAAUGGAGAAAAAUCUGGUGUUAAGGAAUAUUGAUGAAGGAUUUAAAAAGAUAAAGAGUAAGCGUCACUCUGAAAAGGUUCUUAUUGUUCUUGAUGAUGUAGGUUGUGAAGAACAAUUAAAAUUCUUAGCUCCUAAUUCUGAAUGUUUUCAUCCAGGAAGCAUAAUCAUUGUGACCACGAGAAAUAAGCGUUGCCUAGAUGUAUAUGACUCGUAUUCAUCAUAUGAGGCUAAGAGAAUGGCAGACAAGCAAGCUGAGGAACUCUUUUGUUGGAAUGCCUUCAAGCAAGACCAUCCCAUAGAAAAUUUUGUGGGCCUCUCUAAUCGUAUACUGGAUUAUGCUGACGGCCUUCCAUUGGCUCUUGUAGUUUUGGGUUCUUUUCUCUUUCAAAGGCCUAUGGAUGAAUGGGAAAGCACAUUGGAUGAACUCAAAACAAUCCCUCCCGAGAAUAUUCAAAAGGUACUCCAGAUAAGUUAUGAUGGACUAAGUGAUGAACGCAAGAAGUUGUUUCUUUAUAUUGCAUGCUUCUUCAAAGAUGAGGAUGAAAAAAUGGCAACAAGAAUACUAGAAAGUUGCAAAUUACAUCCCGCUAUUGGACUAAGAGUUCUUCAUGAGAGGUGUCUUAUUUCUAUAGAGGACAACACUAUAAGGAUGCAUGACUUGUUACAAGAAAUGGGUUGGGCAAUUGUUUGCAAUGAUCCAGAACGUCCAGGAAAAUGGAGCAGAUUGUGCGAAUUACAGGAUAUUGAAAGUGUAUUAUCACAAAAUGAGGUAAGAGAAAAAUACAUGAACAUACUUGAGAUCUAAAGACAUAAAAGAUUCAACAAGAUUUAUUUUUAUUAUUAUUAUAGUUUGAGUAUAUUAUCUAUAUAAUUUUAGUGAAUCCCUAUGCAUCUUAUACUGCUCAUUCUCAAUCCUUGUUUUCAGUGGACAAAAAACAUUGAGGGGAUUUUCACAAGUCAGUCUCGCCAUACAGGAAAACAUAUACAACUUACUACUGAAGUUUUCAGAAAUAUGAAUCAACUUAGAUUGCUCAAAGUCGAAUUCAAUCAGAUCGUGCAGCUUUCCCAAGACUUUGAAUUGCCUUGUCAUGAUUUAGUAUAUUUUCAUUGGGAUUACUACCCUUUAGAAUAUUUGCCAUCAAAUUUUCAUACAGACAAUCUUGUUGAACUCAACCUCUGGUGUAGCCGCAUAAAACAUCUUUGGGAAGGAAAUAUGGUAUUGCUAUUAUUUAGUUAUAUUUUUGUUGUAGACUAAUUUUAAAGUCUUUUGAAGUUUACUUCUUGACACAAAUUUUCUUCUGUUACAGCCUGCUAAAAAGUUAAAAGUCAUUGAUCUUAGUUAUUCCAUGCAUCUGGUUGACAUUUCAAGCAUCUCAAGUAUGCCAAAUUUGGAGACUCUAACUCUAAAAGGUUGUACAAGGUUCCUUAAGUGUUUCAUCCAUGCUAAAUGUUAUUAUCAGUCAUGAACUAAUUGUUUUCUUGAAUAUAAUAGGGUGCACGAGACUUAAGAGUCUUCCAAGGAACUUUCCUAAGUUGGAAUGCCUUCAAACACUCUCUUGUUGUGGCUGUUCAAACUUAGAGAGUUUUCCGAAGAUCGAGGAAGAAAUGAGAAGUCUAAGAAAGCUUAAUUUAAGUCAAACAGGUAUAAUGGGAUUACCAUCAUCAAUUAGCAAGCUAAAUGGGCUUAAAGAGUUGGACUUAAGUAGUUGCAAAAAGCUUUCGAGUCUUCCGGACAGUAUUUAUAGUUUGAGCUCUCUUCAAACUCUCAAUCUAUUUGCAUGUUCACGACUAGUGGGCUUUCCGGGUAUCAAUAUUGGAAGUCUAAAAGCUCUUAAAUACUUGGAUUUGUCAUGGUGUGAGAACCUUGAGAGUCUUCCGAAUAGUAUUGGUAGUUUGAGCUCUCUUCAAACUCUUUUAUUGAUAGGGUGUUCAAAACUGAAGGGCUUUCCAGAUAUCAAUUUUGGAAGUCUAAAAGCUCUUGAAUCGUUAGAUUUCUCAGGUUGCAGAAACCUUGAGAGUCUUCCCGUGAGCAUUUACAAUGUAAGCUCUCUCAAAACUUUGGGGAUUACAAAUUGUCCAAAACUCGAGGAAAUGUUAGAGAUGAAACUAGGGGUUGAUCCAUGCCCCUGGCCAUUUUCACCUCUAACCUGUCACAUUUCAAAUUCAGCAAUAAUCUGGGAUGAUCACUGGCAUGACUGCUUUUCCUCAUUAGAAGCAUUAGACUCACAGUGCCCCCUGUCAUCACUGGUAGAAUUAUCUGUAAGAAAGUUUUAUGACAUGGAAGAAGACAUCCCCAUUGGCAGUUCCCACCUAACCUCAUUGGAAAUAUUAUCUCUGGGGAACGUCCCUACAGUAGUAGAAGGAAUCCUCUAUGACAUUUUCCAUCUAUCUUCAUUGGUAAAAUUAUCUCUUACUAAAUGCAAGCCAACAGAAGAAGGAAUCCCCCGUGAUAUUCAGAACCUAUCUCCACUGCAACAAUUAUCUCUACAUGACUGCAAUCUAAUGAAAGGAACGAUCCUCGAUCAUAUUUGCCAUCUAACAUCCUUGGAAGAAUUAUAUCUGGGUUGGAACCAUUUUAGUAGCAUUCCUGCUGGCAUCAGUCGACUUUCCAAUCUAAAAGCCCUUGACUUGAGUCACUGCAAGAAGCUUCAACAAAUUCCAGAGCUUCCAUCUAGUCUACGAUUUUUAGAUGCGCACUGUCCGGAUCGUAUUUCAUCAAGCCCCUUGCUUCUACCUAUUCAUUCUAUGGUCAAUUGCUUCAAAUCAAAAAUUGAGGUAUGAUUCUCAUGCCACGUUCCUUUUUCUUUUGUACCCAUUGGAUUUACAUGGUGCUUUCGUGCAGGGGCGCAAGGUUAUUAAUAGGUAUUCUUCCUUCUAUGGCAAUGGGAUUGGUAUUGUUAUUCCUAGUAGUGGAAUUCUAGAGUGGAUAACGUAUCGGAAUAUGGGAAGGCAAGUAACAAUAGAGCUCCCUCCGAAUUGGUAUAAAAAUGAUGACUUGUGGGGAUUUGCUUUAUGCUGUGUUUAUGUUGCACCUGCCUGUAAAUCUGAGGAUGAAUCUCAGUAUGAAUCAGGUCUUAUAUCUGAGGAUGACAGUGACCUUAAAGAUGAAGAAGCAAGCUUUUAUUGUGAAUUGACAAUCGAAGGAAAUAAUCAAUCAGAAGACGUGGGUCAUUUCUUUCUUCAUUCUCGCUGUAUUAAGGAUGAUGUAUCAGAUAUGCAGUGGGUGAUAUGUUAUCCCAAGUUAGCUAUUGAGAAAAGUUAUCACACCAAUCAAUGGACACACUUCAAGGCUUCAUUUGGUGGUGCCCAAGUGGAAGAGUGCGGAAUCCGUCUUGUAUACAGAAAAGAUUAUGAACAGAAGCAUCCAAGAAUGGCACAAGGCAGUACUUCUCAUGGGAAUUUUGGUGAGCAUGGAUCAGUAAGAGAAGAUACUGAUAGUAAAGCUCACAAUAAAAGGAAUCCCACAGAACAGAGCCCAGGAGAGGAGUCACACCAUAAAAGAUCCAGAGAAACCCAAGACUGAUCUCAAGUAUUAGGCUCAACCACACUUGCAUCACUAAUGCUCUCUUUACUGGUAAUUCAUCUUCCUUUCUCUUUCUAAUUCAAAGGUCAGAAUUUUUUUUUUAUCGUGUUUCUCCUUUUUAUUUGUUUUUUUUUUCCCCAAGACAAACAAAACUUUGAGGCUAUCACCCAUGGGCGCAAACUUCAAUGGUACACCUCCCAAGUUUGUUUUUCUCUCUCUCCAACCGUCUCUCCCUAGAUUUUUCUGCAUUUUCUUCAAACUCAUAUUUCCAUAUGAAAUUCAAUUACAUUCGAGCAUUUCAAUCUCUGUAGCUACUGUCUGAAUCAAUUAUAGGGUUUCUUUUUUCUGGAAGUUUGUAAUGUUAUUGAUUUAAGACUUCAUGUUUGGGGAUGUUUUGGGUGGCUUGUUCACUGGUAUUACUUGUGAUAAUUGCAGCUCUGGUGCUUUCAAUGACUGACAAUAGUUGAAACUAUGUUGAAUGCUUGUACUAAGGGAAUGGACUUCAGCUGCUCCAGGGUUAGUGCUAUAACAUCAGUAUUCACUCUUCAAGAAUGUAUAUAGUUGUUGUUUUGGAAUUUUGAAAUUACUUAGCAUCAGACAAUUUCUAACUCGGGAUUUGGAUUGGGAACCAUAAGUUAUCUCACCCUAGUGUUCUUUGGAAUAAUUAUAGGAUUUUGUAAGUAACUUUGGACUUGUUAGCAAUGUUCUGGAUUUGUGAAUAAUUUAUAGAAUACAUUGGGUGUUUUUUUUUUUUGGUCCAUCAAAAACUUCAAGAACUUUGAGGGUGAAUAAUGUAUGACUGUACUCUUCUCUAUCUCUGUGGUCAUAGCACACGUAUGAUUUGGUGCUUUUUUGCAGGCCUUCAACAGCAGCAAAGCAUCUGGUGGCUUGCAGUACUAAUCUUGCAUUAUAUUCUCUGUUUUGCAAUCAUUUGGUACUUUUUGUCCCAACCAAGGAUAGCUCUGUGCAAGCAGUCUCGACUGUGGAACAAGUAAAACAAAUGGUACCUGCUGAAGCUGAGAGUGCAGAUGAUAAACUGGUGCGGAAGGUGGUCAACCAAAAGAAUCAGACAGCAAAAACUAAAAAGCCCAUGAAGCCUGCUACUGAAGCAGUCUCAGCACCUGUUUCUAGGAGGGGUGAGAUUGAAGUGACUGAAGAAAAGGAGCAUCAGCAAACAAAGAAGGAAGAGGAGUUGGCCAGGAAGGUAGAGGAAUUGAGAAGUGAAGAAGAAGCAGCCAUGUUGAAGGAGCAAAGUCUGUUGGAGGAGAGAAAGCCAACGUUAAGGAGGCACUGGAAAGGCAACAAGGAACUGCAGAAAAGGCCAAUUUCUCUGUGAGUGCUGCCACCUUUUCAUGAUACAGCCAUCAUAAUGGAUGUUAAAAGCAGUCUAACUCUACAUACUUCCUUGCAUUAUACUAGUCAUUGAUGGGCUUAAAUUUUAAUUUAAAUGUAGUAUAAAUAUAUAAGUAGAUUGAUUGGGUCUGAAUUUGAACCUGGUUCGAGUCAUACUCCCAUCCAAUCCAAACUUGUGAUUGGGCUUGAAUUUCUUGGCCCAACCAGCGAAAUCAUUGACCAACGGCCCUUAGUUUGGGCUGGGCUUGAUGGUCCUCAGGUUAUGUAGGCUUAAUACUGAUUGGGUUUGGGCUUCCAUGCAGUUGUACUUGGAUUCUAUGUUUCCUAAUAUUAACACUAAAUUAGGUUUAAUUUAUAAUUAAAUAUAAUUAGUUUGAGACUAACUCCAAUCUUUAGUUAAACCAACUAAGUUUUAUGCAAAGGUUUAUAUUCCUAAUACCAUCAGGUAUUAUAGUAAAUACCAUUGAAAAACUAAAUUCAUGUGGAAGUUUCACUAGGUGAUACGACAUUAAAUUAUUAAGAUAAAAUUAAAAAAAGAUCAUGCUCGUAUGUCCCGUUGUUUGUCAUAAGAGAAUUUCUUUCUAGAUUUUUUUUUUUUUGCUCUUUUCAAUUCUAGAUAUUUUAAUAUAUCUUUACUUUUUCAAAAACAAUCCAUAGGAUUGUUCCCAAACAUAUAUCAUAUAAAUAUAUAUUUUUAAGAUUGAUUUUUAAGAAUGUUAUCAAAUAAACUCAUAAUAGCAUUUUUUUCUUUACAAUUACCAAUUCGUAUGAUGAAUUAAUUACUUUCAAUAACCGACAUCAUCUAAUCAAAAUUAUAAUUAAGUAUCAUAUUAAAAGAGUGUUUAAAAAAUCAAAUUUAAUAACUUAAAGUGAUUUAAUAAUUUAAUUUAAAUUAUUAAAAUAACUUGAUGUCACAAUUUAAAGUUAGAAAUGACUUAAUUUAUUUUUAUUUAAAUUUAAAACUAAGUUUACAAAAAAGGUUUAAAAUUCAUAUCAAUUAAGAAAUUAAGUCAUUAAGUUACUUUAAGCCAUUAAAUUGAUCUACCAAUUAAACACCCUUGAAGAUAUUACAUAAAGUUCACCUUCUACAUAUCAUGAAAAUUUAAAAUUAAUUACAACAUCAAGAAUCUUUAGUUCCUAAUCGAUAUCAUAUUUAAUCCUUGGUUGUAAAUUUCUUUACAUAUGUAGAUAUAUUUUUAUAUUGCAAGUGGGUUGCCGACUUUUCAUUUUAUACUAGUUUUGAAAUUAAGAUUGUAGUUUUUAUUUUGUCCAAAUCUAAUUUGGAGGGAGAAUCUUUAGAGGCUAUUUUAUAUUCAAAUAGGAAAAUUUUAAAUUUAAUAGUCCCACCUUAUAAAGGCAAAUAUCUUGGACCCUACAUGGGUGCCUCUUACAUGCAAAAGGACAAAGACUUAUUGAAAGCCUCUCUCAUUCACAUGGAUGCCAUCAUUCAUCAAAGUUGAAACAUGAAACCCACACAAAAGCAAUUUCAAUAUUUUUUUUCAUAACUAUAGCUGAGAAUCUCAAUAUUAUUAAAUAGUGACAAAAUUAAUUUCAAUAUUUUUUUUUCUUAUUUUUUGCUCCUUGUGGUUAUAUUUUCAUCUGGAAAGUAUUAAAUAUAUUAAAAAAGAAAAAAAUUAUAAAAAAAUUUUUUUCCUAGUUAAUUAUACUAUGAAAAAUAUAGAGUAAAAUAAAAUAUAAUUAAAAUUAGUUAAAAAAUUAUAUUUUUAUAAAAUUAUUUGACUUUUUUAUAAAAAUUUAAAAUAAGUGACAUGAGUUUGAAAUAGUAUAUAUAUUGACUUUAAUUCUUUCAAAUUAAUCACUAGGUUGUUAGAGACAUACACCUAUGAUCCAAAGGUUUUCCCAACAAAGAUAUCAAUAAAUCUUUCUACUCCAUUGAUUGCAUCUUGAAUUCUUUCAAAUUAAUCACUUCAUUGUAAUCAUUAUUCACUUCAUUGUGAUUUGUCAGACAACAAUUCAUUUCUGCUUCAUGGUUGGACCUUGAGGUAAGGCUUUAGAGGCAUAAGCCUCAAAAGCCUCUUAAAAUUGGUUCUACACUUCUUGCAUGAUGAAUGCAAGUUCCAAAUUUUGAUGACUUGGUAAUGUUGGAGUAAUUGGGUUGAAAGCAGUCAAACACAAAUAUUUAUUAAAGAAGAUAAAAAUUUGGAAGAAUUAAAAUUUUAUUGUAUUCUACCACUCUUUUUUUUAUUCAAAUAUUACAUAAUCCUUUAUUAACUAAAAAUGACAUAAUUAAAAGUAAAUUAUCAUUUGAUUGCAAUGGAUUUAAUAGAAUAUGGUGGAUAUGCUAAAUUUUUGUCUGAUAAUAAAAUUUGAUUUGAGUGAAUAUAAUUAGAGUAAAAUAGUCUUUUUAACUAUCACUUUUACAAUAAAAAGUGUUUUAUUUAAACAAAUAUUUAAUAAAAUUUUAAAAACAUUUGAUAAAUAAUUAUUAUAAAAACUCUUCCUCGAAAAUACUUCAAAGUUCGUCGGAUGGUAAAUUAUACAUCAAGAUCUUAAUGAUGGUCCAUGCAACCAUCACCAUUGAUUGUUUUUGAAAACACAACUUCAAUUUAAAUAAUAUUUUAAGGUAACUCCUAGUUAUCAUAUUUUACAAGAUAUUUUUUAAAAUUAUUGUUUUUUUUCUUUCAAAAUCCUAAGAGAGAGGUCACCAAUAUCAAAAUAAUGUGACCCAUCUCUAUACUAUUGUCUCCAUUAUUUGGACUAUAUCAUAGUUUCCUUAUUGACAACAUGGUAGCCAUGUUAAAUACCUACAACUUUGAAAACAAGAUCUCAAAACUAUGCCUAUUUGAUUAUAAGGCUUAAUUAUUAUAGUUUAUCAUUUCCUAGCAUAUAUAGUUCUUAGCAUCUAAGUAUUUGUUAUAUAAGAAUUUUUCUCAUUUUUCAAGCUUGCAUUUUGUUUAGAAAUUUUUUGAGUUUUUUACAAUCAUUUUGAAAAUGUCAACUCAUAAUUAUAUACAUUUUAGUUCUAUAAGGACUAAAAUCACUUAACAUCAUGGUAAUACUAUUUAAGGUAAUUUGCUUUGAAUCAGAAUGAACUUAUAUACAACUUACGAUUUAUGGUAAUAAUAGAGAUCGAAUUUAAAAAUACAUAAGUUUUCAAUUAAAUAUUAAUAUAUUUAUGUUUCCUUCUUAUUUUUAAUCCUAAAACACAUUAAAUGUAUGCUCUUGAAUUCCUCCAUGUAAUGCGAUUUGAUAUAAUGAUAAAUCAACAAUUAUGAUUUAAUAAUAUGGUGCUUUGACUUUUGACAUUUAAGUAACACCGUCAAUAAAAGCUCCAUAUCUUUGCUUCAUGGAAGAACGUACAAAUGAUGUGAUUGAAUUACAUUUCAAUUAUGUUUGAUUCUUUGAAAAUACUCAAGAAAAAUAAAUAUUUAAAAAAAUAAUUUUCUCAUAUUUGAUUUUACUAUAAAAAAAAUACAUAAUUAAAAUUAGUAAUAAAUUUAAAUAAUUUUAAAUUACUUAAUCUUUAUAUAAAAAAGUUAAAUUAGUAAAACGAGUUUAAAACAUGAUAUAAAGGUAAUUUAUUGACUUUAAUUUUUUUUUUUUACUUCACUUUUUCUUUCCUUCUCUUUGAUGAGAUCAUCUUAGAUAAAUUGUUAAUUGAUUGCAGCAUAUUCAAUUGAAUUCGAUAGUCUAGGUAUCAUAAAUCAUACAUGUUGUGCACCAUUUACAGUAAAUGAACCGUCACAAACCAUACAUAGAGGAGAUGUUGAUUUCAUUAUAAAUCAUACGAUAAUUACAAAAGAUAUGAUAUUAACUUGCAGUAAAUUGCAACAUCGGCACUCUAAUGCUAGACAAAGUAACUAGACAAAGUAAGUCUAAUUAUUGCUAACUUUCCUCAUCUUUCUUGGGCCUUUUGGGUGCUUUUUGUGCAAAAGAGAAAAAGCUAUAACUAAAUUGCCAAUCCAUCACCGACGUUAUAGACUGAUGAAGAAUACCAAAGGGAGUGUUACGAAAUAAUGAGAAUAAAUAAUAAGAAAAAUAGAAUAAGAACACAUAGAUAUACGUGAAAAACUUUAGAUGGGAAAAAUCAUGAGAAAACGAGAAAAAGAUCCGUUAUGUCAAAAAUUGGUACAAAAUGGGAGAGUUGAAAGCGACUACAACAAAAGUAUAAUCAUCGUAACCCUAAAACUAUACAUCAUUAUUAUAUAUAUAUAUAUAUGUAUAUAUAUAUAUAUGCGAGAGUUGAGAACAACUAUGGGAUGAGGUCUAUCGACUCGAUCCCUUCACUACCCCCACAAAUCUCUCAAAAAAUCUCAUAAUUUUAACUUUACUACAUAUAUUGCAUCGCGAGCUUUUCGAAUUGAAUAAAAAAGAAUUUGGAAUCAUCAAACAGUAACAAAGGGAGUGAGAUCAUAACUUUGGAAGGAUUUUUUUUUUUUUUAAAUGUAGACUUGAAUGGUAAAUACUAAAAUGUGUUUGAGAGUGAUACUUGAAAGUAUUUUUAAUAUUUUUAAUAUUCGAAAAAUAAAAAAUUUUCAAAUAUUAAAAAUAUUUCCUAAAAUCAAUAUCAAAAACCAUUUUACAAAAUCAGUAUCAAACUAUCAAACAUAAUUUGAAUUUAAAUAGAGACAAGAACAACAUUGACUCUUGACUCACCAAACCAGUCCUAGUUCACUUAUUGAAUGAAAAGAAAAUAAUUAAAAAUAAAUAACAGCAUCCAUUCUACCAUGUUAUGAAGAGUAAAAGACAAUGGAGAUUUUAACUUUGUUGCCUUAAAAGUCAUGCCCCCUUUCAUGAGUAUAUAUAAUAAAAUAUAUUCGUUUGCAUCUCUUGAAUGCAAAUAAUUUGAUAAUUUUUUUAUAAUUAAUUUAUGAAGAUAACAAUUUGAUAAUUAGACAAUUAUGUUGAUAUUUUGACAUUAUUAUCAAUUUACCAAAUAAGAUUGUUUUUCACCCAACAAUAAUUUACUUAGAAUAAUAAAUAAAUUAAAUUAGCUAACGUAACCAAAGCAUUUGAUUAAAAAUUGGUUUUCAUUUACAAAGAUAAGUUGAAAAUUAAUUUUAAUUUGAUUUAAUUAGGAAAUUAAUUUUUUGCUUGUUAAGUUUGUUUUAAUUUGUAAAUUCAUGUAAAUAAAAAAAAGGAUAAAAAGAUAAUUUUCAUGUGAAAAUUCAUUUAAUUUGAAAAUAAAUGAUGUAAUGUGUUUCAUUGUCGGUUAGCAUUUUUCUUUUUUUCUUGUUUGUAUAACUUUUUAAAAUGUAAAAGAUAAUAAUAAAAUAAGAAAUAAUCAAUAAAUUAAAAAAAUAAAAUAAAUGAUCUCACUAAAAAUGUUUUUUUACCUUAUGUCAUAUGACUUGGAUUAUUUUUUUUCUCUUUUCAGUAAAACAAACUUUUAAUAUAAAUAAAAAAAUAAAAUAGGACAUAGAGGAAAAUAGCUAAAGAGUAUAAAAAAAAUUCAAAAUAAUGCACUAAAAAUGGAAAGAGAAUAUGGUGAGUAGUUGAAUAAUAAUAAAUAAAAAAAAGUCAAAAAAGCUUCAAUACUCUUUGAAUCCACUGUUAGUGAAUGCCAAAAGGCAUACAUCAUACACGCAACUAGAAAUAAAAUGGUAAAAUAUAAAGAAAAGAGUCAGAAAAAGCACGAAGACUACAAUUAAUAAUCGUGGCAGGACUUCGACUCUCGUGAACCCCCCACUGUCACUCAAUGCUAUAGGGUUACAGGCUUGGAGCCAAUCAAAGAUAAUUGAGACAGAAGAACCAGACAUCCUCAACACCAUCGUCUCAGACUCUCAGCAUUCAAAGACCCCUUUGUAUUUUCUUCUUCCAAAUUCUGUUCUUGUAAUUUUGUUACAAUCCAACCAUGGCUUCCACUAGCAAUCCCAAGAGACCCUCUUCUUCUUCUAAUUCUAAAUGGAGGUACGAUGUGGUCUUGAGUUUCAGAGGCGAGGAUACCCGCAACAACUUUACUAGUCAUCUCUACAAGGCUUUGGAUCAUGCCAACAUUGAAACCUUUAUAGAUGAUGAAGGACUUCCAAGGGGAGAAGAGAUUGCGCCCGAGCUCCUAAAAGCUAUUGAAGGAUCAAGGAUUGCCCUUAUUGUCUUCUCGAAAACCUAUGCUCAUUCCAAGUGGUGCUUGGAUGAACUCGUCAAGAUCAUGGAGUGCGAGAAAGAAAAGGGACAACAGGUUUUUCCUAUUUUCUAUCAUGUAGAGCCGUCUGAAGUCAGGAACCAGACUGGGAUUUAUGGAGAAGCAUUUAACAAUCACGAAAGAAAUGCAGACGAGGAGAAGAAGAAGAAGAAGAUAGAGCAGUGGCGGACUGCCUUAAGGAAAGCUGGUAAUUUGAGUGGAUUUCCUCUGCAGGAUAGGUAAUCCCUACUUCACUUUUUCCAUUCCCAAUUUUCUGUCAGUUUAUUUUCAUUCUUGUUAAUAAAUAAAAUAUUUAUGAUUACAUUUAUCAAUCAAAAUCCAUUUUUAAGUAGUAGACAUUAAUAUGUUCGAUUUCUUGGAAAGUAAUAAGAAAGAGUAAAAAAAAAAAAAAAAAAGAUUUUCUCACAUUUAAUUUAUUAUUAAAAUUAUAAAAGGAAAUCAAAUAUAAUUAAAAUAUAUCAGAAAAAAUUAUAUUUGCCCAGCAGGUGGAAAUGCCAAGUUUUGAAUUGUUAAAAAUCUUUAAGAUUCCAAAAUAUUCUUCCUUUCUAAUCGAUCCAUCUUAGCCAUAAUUUCUAUCAGUUAAAAAAAAUGGUAGUCUGUCAAAUAAAUUGUUAAAAUUGGUUAUUUAUAUGCCUUGUAAAUUUGGAGAUAAUCUGAGAUGAUUAUUUAAAAUAUUGUAAUACUACCCUAAAUUUUUUUGGACCCUCUUAUGGGACAAAAAACUUAGUUAUUGCACCCUUAACCUUUUUCAAUUUUAGAGGAAUUUUCCAUUACUUAAAUAAUUUUCUCUUCUUCUCUGUGCACUACAUGAGUUUACAUUUCUUCUUUACUUAAUAUUGUUUGUUCCUCUAUAUUUGCAAGUUGAUUAUUAAAUUUAUUUACCUUUUAAUCUAAUGUUUGUAUCUCGUUUUAUUCUAAUUAUCCCAUGACUCUUCUUAAGACCUUGUCUUUCACGUUGAAUCAUCUAAUGCUAAACUUAUUCCCUUACUAUUCUACUUUGUGUACUCAUGGGAUUAAUGUAUUGCAAUCAAAAUUAUUUUUUUUAAUCUCUUUUUCUCUUGUAUGUUCUACAUUCCUCUAUACCUCACAAAUAAAAGCAAGUAACCUUACAGCUUGUUUGACAAUAUAUUUGCAACUAAUGUUCAAAAAAUAGUUUUCCCCAACACAAUGUUGAAAAUAAUGAACAAAAUUUUAUUUGAAAAUUCAAAUAUGAAGAACGACUUUCUCGACUUAUUAACUAUGAAGGUGCUAUAAAUUUUUGUACAACAUAACAAUUCUCUAAGUAUUAUCUAUAUUUUCAAUUCUUUAUCACAAUACUCUAUAAGAAAAUACCUAAAAACAUUUCAAAUAUGCUCUUAAAAAUGAACUUGUUUACCAAACAAAUUUUUGAAAAUUAUUUUUAAUAAAAGAAAAAAUUAAAAAUAUAAUCAAGUGACAUGAAAUAUGGGAUGAAAAAUAAUAAGUUCUGUAUAUUAGAUUGACUAUACACACAGUUUAUAUUGGAUAUUACAAGAGAAGAAAUAAGAAACAAGAGACAUAAUAGAAAACUAACUUAUUCAUAAACUAACUUAUUCCUAAAUCAUAAAACUAUCUAUUUACAAAAAUAAAAAACUAAUAUAAUAUGAAAAUAAUUCUCCUAUUCUAUUUACAGCUCAAUUACAACCUAUUUACAGCUCAACACUCCCCCUCAAGCUAAGGAAUAGAUGUCUUCCAUUCCAAGCUUGAAUACAAGAUCGUGAAACAUUGAACUGUUCAGCCCUUUUGUUAGGAUAUCAACUAAUUGAUGUUUUGAUGGAACAUAGGACAUACACACUACUCCUUCCUCCAAUUUUUCUUUGAUAAAAUGCCUAUUAAUCUCAAUAUGUUUUGUCCUAUUGUGUUGUAUAGGGUUAUGAGCAAUAUUGAUAGCUGACUUGUUGUCACAAUAGAGCUUCAUAUGACCAUCCCACUUGAUUCUCAAAUCAUCUAGAAUAAUCUUCAGUCAAAGUAGUUCAUACAACCCUUGAGCAAUGUCCCUAAACUCUGAUUUUGCAGACGACCUUGCUACCACAUUCUGCUUUUUACUUUUCCAUGUUACCAGAUUACCUCGAGGAAAAGUACAAUACCCUAUAGUUGAUCUUCGAUCCACUAGGGAACCUGCAUAGUCAACGUCAGUAUAUGCUUCUAGAGUAAGAGUAUUGUUCUUUUUGAACAAAAUUCCUUUCCCGGGGUUGCCUUUCAAGUAAUGCAGCACCCUGUAAGCAACUUGAAGAUGAGGUUCUCUUGGAUCAUGCAUGAAUUGACUGAUCACGCUCACCGAGUAGGCGAUGUCUGGCAAGUGUGAGCAAGGUAUAUGAGCCUACCAACUAGCCUUUGGUACAUUCUUUUAUCCACCACUGGUUCUUCUUUAGCUUCUCCCAACUUGUGAUUUGGAUCCAUUGGGGUAGAGACUAGUUUACACCCAAUCUUCCUUGUUUCUGUCAAUAAAUUAGUCACAUACUUUUGUUGAUAGAUGAAGAUCUCUUGUGUGGAAUAUGCCACCUCAAUAUUGAGGAAGUGCUUUACUUUCCCUAGUUCCUUUAUCUCAAACUCUGUUGCUAAUCUUUGCUUCACUUCAUGCUUUUCUCUCUCAUCAUUUCCAGUCAUUAUGAUGUCGUCAACAUAGACUAGAAAAGCAAUUACUCCCCCUGUAGCCGAGUGCUUAAUGAAGAGAGUGUGGUCACCUUGGCUUUGCUUGUACCCAUACUCUUUCAUGACUUUUUCAAAUCUCUCAAACCAAGCCCUAGGAGAUUGUUUUAGCCUAUAAAGGGCCUUUUUCAGCCUACACACCUUGUUACCUAUGUUUCCCUCAAAUCUUGGUGGGAUGUUCAUGUAAAUCUCUUCAUCUAAAUCACCAUGAAGAAAUGCAUUCUUAACAUCAUACUAUAGGAGUUGCCAAUUGUAGUGGGUAGCCAAGGACAGUAGGAUUCUUAUAGUAUUCAUUUUUGCAACUGGAGCAAAAGCCUCCUGAUAAUCAACUCCAUAAGUUUGAGUGUACCAUUUGGCUACCAAUCUUGCUUUAUGUCUCUCAAGAGAUCCAUCAGUCUUAUAUUUCAGCGUGAAAAUCCACUUGCAAUUAACAAUGUUUUUCCCUUUCGUCUUUCAACAAUCUCCCAUGUUUUAUUAUUUUCUAAUGCAUUCAUCUCCUCUCUCAUAGCAUCCUUCCAUUCCCUUUUUGUCAAUACCUCAGAAACAGUGUUAGAGAUGAUAGUGGUGUUUAAACUCACAAUGAAAUUCUUGUGGGCUAGUGAUAGGUGCUUAAGAGACACAUAGUGUGAUAGUGGAUAGAGUGGUUAAUUAGUGCAUUAUCCGGUGCCUUUUCUGACAGCAAUGAGAAGGUCUAGGUCUAGGUUGUCUGUUGAGUCAAUGGAAGUUUCACCAAGUUGUGUAUGUAAAGGUGGGUCUAAUCUUACCGUGAUUUCAUUCCUAGGAUUUGAGUUGGAUUCUUGGACCUGCUAUUGUUCUGGAAUGACCUUUUCCCUUUAAUACAUCUUAGGAAACUGUGGAAAAUUACAAGUGACACUGGUUGGAAUAGGGAAUGACACGGGUUUAGUGGUAAAAUUGGGUGACUCAGGUGUGAUUAGUUCGGAUGACUCAAGUUCUUCAUCACCAUGGGUUGAGACAUGAGGAAGGUUAAGAGGUUCAAAGGAGUCACAAGGACUAUCCUCCAUCAUUGAAAUCUCCCCCUAAAUAGAGGACUUGGGAAAAAAGGUUUAUUUUCUGUGAAGGUGACAACUGCAGAGAUGUAAAAUUUUCUGGCUAAGGGAUUGUAACACUUGUAUCCUUUUUGAGUAGAUGAGUAAACCAAGGAAGACACAUUUUAUGGCUCGGGGGUCUAGCUUGUCUCUAUGAUGGUUGUGGACAUGAACAAAUGCAAUGCAUCAAAAUACACUAGGAGUGAGCCCAUAUGAGGUUCUAAAGUGUGGAUAGAAACUCUUAAGUAUCUCUACGGGGCUUUUGUUGUCUAACACUUGUGAGAGAAUUCUAUUUAUCAUGUAUGUGGCAGUAAGAACAGCUUCCCCCCAAUAGGACUUAGGAACAUUCCCUUGAAAGAGUAAGGCUCGGGUUGUGUUGAGUAAAUGCCCAUUUUUUCUCUCGGGUAUCCCAUUUUGUUGGGGUGUGUUAACACAUGAUGAGUCAUGGAGAAUGCCCUGUGAUUGAAAAUUGGGUGACAAAGUAUGGUUAAAGUAAUCUCUAGCAUUGUCUGUCUUAAAACUUUUUAUUUUAACCCCAAAUUGGUUUUGAACCAUUGAGUGGAAAUUAGGUAUAACAAUGCUAACAUCAGAUUUUUGUUUAAGAAGAAAGAUCCAUGUAAUCUGAGUGCAGUCAUCAAUUAAGGAUACAAACCAACGAGCCCCAUAAACAUUAGGUAUAGUCGAAGGACCCCAUAUGUCACUAAGAAUCAAAUGAAAAGGAUGAGAACUUCUUUUAUUGCUAAUAGGAAAAAAUUCACGAGUAUGUUUUGUCAAUUCACAAGUUUUGUAAUGAAACUUAGAAAUAUCUAAUCCUUGAAACAAAUGAGGAAACAUGACCUUUAAAACCCUAAAAGAUGGAUGACCUAGACGUAGGUGAUACAACCAAAUGGUAUCUUUAUUUAAGGAACUCUAAAAAGACACACAAAUUAUUACUAGUUUUCUGAGAUGAUUCAAGGUGAUAAAGACCGCUCAUUUCCUUAGCAAGUCCAAUCCUCCUUCCCGAGCCUUGUUCCUGAAAAACACAAUAAGAAUGGAAAAAAAUAGCAGAACAUUUAAGAUCAUGGGUAAGCUUUUGAAUGGAAACAAGGUUGGCCGACAAUUUUGGUACAUGGAGGACAUUUUUAAGAAUAAGGGUAGGUGUGAUAUAUAUGUCUCUGAAACCUGCAACGGUAACUAAAAAGCCAUUGGCCAUUGCAAUUUUCUUGUUACUUGGGUUUGAGGUAUAGGUAUGGAAAAGUUGAGAUUUGGAGGUCAUAUGGUCUGUGGCACCGAAGUCUAUUAUCCAAUAGUCAUUAUAAACCUUGUGUGAGGCAUUUAUGCAAAAUGAGAGUGAAGGUGUACCUGAAUUUUCCAACAUCUUCCACGAAAAAAAAAACCUGAUCUCUUGGGAAUUAAGGUAGAUCGCGAAACAAAAAAACCAGCAACAAUGAAGGUUGGUAAAAGAACACGUGAAUAAAAAAAAUCUAACUAUGAAGGCCAGAAAAAUGGCGAUGAAGGCCAGAAUGAUGCCCAGGUCUUAAAAACCUACUGCUCUGAUACCAUGACACGAAAUGUGGGAUGAAAAAUAAUAAGUUUUGUAUAUUAGAUUGACUAUAUACAUAGUUUAUAUUGGAUAUUAUAAGAGAAGAAAUAGGAAACAAGAGACAUAAUAGGAAACUAACUUAUUCCUAAAUCAUAAAACUAUCUAUUUACAAAAAUAGGAAACUAACAUAAUAGGAAAAUAAUUCUCCUAUUCUAUUUACAGCUCAAUUACAACCUAUUUAUAGCUCAACAUUAAGUUAUAAAACUAUUUUAUAUUCUAAAGAAAAAAAAAAUCUAUUUUCAAAAACAAUAUCUAUAUAAGCAUUUUUCUUUUAAGUAUGAUUUUAAAAUGUUUUUCCAUGAGUCUAAUUGUUGCUAGGAUUUUGACCAAUAAACAAAUAUGUGUGACUUUCCUCGUCAUUGUAAUUUAUAUUUGGGAAAAAAAUGGGGAUUUCAUCAAAAUAUGAAACUUAUGUAACAAUUAUUAGCAACCUAAAUAUAAAUAAAACUAAAACGGAGAAUUUACUUGUUUAUGGAAUAAAUAGUUGAAAAUUUUAUAAGCAUUGAGGAUGGUCAUAAAUCAUGUUGUAAUUAAUAAAAGCAUUUCUAGGUUAUGGAACUUGGGUGGCAAAUUGGUAGAUUUCUAGCCAAACUAGUAUUUGUCUCUAUAAUAAAAUCUCUUAUCAUAAAGGGUAAUGAUACUUUAGAAAGGUCAACUUCAAAUUGGGCCUUUAGAAGCAAUUAAGAUAUUUACAUUAUUUUAUUGCAUGUAUACUUGACAUGACAUAAUGAAAUUUUAUUUAAACAUGCAAUUCAACACAUUUUUAAUUUACAUUCUAUUUGACCUUAAUUUAAUGGCACCGAACGAAACUAAGAAUCAUUCUAUAAUUUCCAUUUACUUCAUCUUUGUUUUCUUUGACAAUUGAUUGUAGCUCACUGCAUGUUUUAUUGUACUUUAUAAUGGACAGAUUUGAGUCAGAGUUUAUUCAAGAAAUCAUUGGUGAGAUUCGAAGAUUAACUCCUAAGUUGGUACAUGUUGGUGAGAACAUAGUUGGAAUGGAUGAAAAUUUGAAAGAGGUGGAGUUAUUGAUAAACGCCCAAUCAAAUGGAGUGAGCAUGGUUGGGAUUUAUGGGAUUGGUGGGAUUGGUAAAACUACCAUUGCCAAGGUUGUUUACAAUGAUAUGUUAGAUCAAUUUCAACGUCACAGCUUUCUUGAAAAUGUGAGGGAGAAAUCUAAAGAUGAUCAUGGUUUGCUUGAAUUACAAAAAAAACUUCUUUGUGAUAUCCUAAUGGAGAAAAAUCUGAAGUUAAGAAAUAUUAAUGACGGUAUCAAAAUGGUAAAGAGGAAGUGUCGCAUUGAAAAGGUUCUCAUUGUUCUUGAUGAUGUAGAUUGUCAAAAACAAUUAAAAUUCUUAGCUCCUAAUUCUGAAUGUUUUCAUCAAGGAAGCAUAAUCAUCGUGACCACGAGAAAUAAACGUUGCCUAGAUGUACAUAAGUCAUAUUCAUCAUAUGAGGCUAAGGGAUUAGCACACACGCAAGCUAAGGAACUCUUUUGUUGGAAUGCCUUUCAGCAAGACCAUCCCGAGUAUGAGGACCUCUCUAAUUGUAUACUAGAUUAUGCUAAAGGCCUUCCAUUGGCUCUUGUAGUUUUGGGUUCUUUUCUCUAUCAAAGGGAUGUGGAUUACUGGGAAAGCACACUGCAUAAACUAAAAACAAACCCUCUUGAGGAUAUUCAAAAGGUACUCCAGAUAAGUUAUGAUGGACUAGAUAAUAAAUGGAAGGAGUUGUUUCUUGAUAUUGCAUGUUUCUUCAGAAAUGAGGAUAAAAAAGUUGUUACAAGAAUACUAGAAGGUUGCAAAUUCCAUCCUAAGUCUGGACUAACGGUUCUUCAUGAGAGGUGUCUUAUUUCUAUAACAGACGACACCAUAAGGAUGCAUGACUUGUUACAAGAAAUGGGUUGGGCAAUUGUUCGCCAAAAUUUUCCAGAACAUCCUGAAGAAUGGAGCAGAUUGUGGGAAUUACAGGAUAUUAAAAGUGUUUUACCACAAAAUAAGGUAGGAGAAAAAUACAUGAACUUACUUGAGAUCUAAAGACAUAUAAAAGAUUCAACAAGAAUUAUUUUUAUUAUUAUUAUAGUUUUGAGUAUCUUAUCUAUAUAAUUUUAGUGAAUCCCUAUGCAUCUUAUAUUGCUUAUUCUCAAUGCUUGUUUUCAGGGGACAAAAAACAUAGAGGGGAUAUCCAUAAAUCGGUCUUGGGAUAGUAAAAAACGUAUACAACUUACUGCUGAAGCUUUCAGAAAGAUGAAUCGACUUAGAUUGCUCAAAGUUAAAGGCGAUAUGGUGCAGCUUUCCUAAGACUUUGAAUUGCCUUGUCAUGAUUUAGUAUAUUUUCAUUGGGAUAACUACCCUUUGGAAUAUUUGCCAUCAAAUUUUCAUGUAGAAAAUCCUGUUGAACUUAACCUCUGGUACAGCAACAUAGAACAUCUUUGGGAAGGAAACAUGGUAUUGCUAUUAUUUAGUUAUAUUUUUGCUCUAGACUAAUUUUAAAGUCUUUUGAAGUUUACUUAUUGAAACGAAUUUUCUUCUGUUACAGCCUGCUAAAAAGUUAAAAGUCACUGAUCUUAGUUAUUCCAGGCAUCUGGUUGACAUUUCAAACAUCUCAAGUAUGCAAAAUUUGGAGACUCUAAUUCUAAAAGGUUGUACAAGGUUACUUAAGUGUUUCACCCAUGCUUAAUGUUAUUAUUAGUCAUGAACUAACUGUUUUCUUGAAUAUAAUAGGAUGCAAGAGACUUGAGAGUCUUCCAAGGAACUUUCAUAAGCUGGAAUGCCUUCAAACACUCUCUUGUGAUGGCUGUUCAAACUUAAAAGUUUUCCGAAGAUCAAGGAAGAAAUGAGAAGUCUAAGAAAGCUUAAUUUAAGUCAUACAAGUAUAAUGGAAUUAACAUCAUCAAUUAGGCAUCUAAAUGGGCUUGAAGAGUUGGACUUAAGUAAUUGCAAAAACCUUUUGAGUCUUCCGGACAGUAUUGGUAGUUUGAACUCUCUUCAAACUCUCGAUCUAGUUGAGUGUUCAAAACUAGUGGGUUUUACAAAUAUCAAUAUUGGAAGUCUAAAAGCUCUUGAAUAUUUGGAUUUGUCAUGGUGUGAGAACCUUGAGAGUCUUCCAAAUAGUAUUGGUAGUUUGAGCUCUCUUCAAACUCUUUUAUUGAUAGGGUGUUCAAAAUUGAAGGGCUUUCCAGAUAUCAAUUUUGGAAGUCUAAAAGCUCUUGAAUUGUUAGAUUUCUCACACUGCAGAAACCUUGAGAGUCUUCCUGUGAGCAUUUACAAUUUGAGCUCUCUCAAAACUUUGGGGAUUACAAAUUGUCCAAAACUCGAGGAAAUGUUAGAGAUUAAAUUAGGGGUUGAUUGGCCAUUUUCACCUCUAACCUGUCACAUUUCAAAUUCAGCAAUAACCUGGUAUGAUGACUGGCAUGACUGCUUUUCCUCAUUAGAAGCAUUAAACCCACAGUGCCCCCUGUCAUCACUGGUAGAAUUAUCUGUAAGAAAGUUUUAUGGCAUGGAAGAAGACAUCCUCAGUGGCAGUUUCCACCUAUCCUCAUUGCAAAUAUUAUCUCUAGGGAACUUCCCUAGCGUGGCAGAAGGAAUCCUCGAUAAGAUUUUCCAUCUAUCCUCGUUGGUAAAAUUAUCUCUUACUAAAUGCAAGCCAACGGAAGAAGGAAUCCCUGGUGAUAUUUGGAACCUAUCUCCACUGCAACAAUUAUCUCUACGUGACUGCAAUCUAAUGGAAGGAAAGAUCCUCAAUCAUAUUUGCCAUCUAACAUCCUUGGAAGAAUUAUAUCUGGGUUGGAACCAUUUUAGUAGCAUACCUGCUGGCAUCAGUCGACUUUCUAAUCUAAAGGCCCUUGACUUGAGUCAUUGCAAGAACCUUCAACAAAUUCCAGAGCUUCCAUCAAGUCUACGAUUUUUAGAUGCGCACUGUUCGGAUGGUAUUUCAUCAAGCCCCUCGCUUCUACCUAUUCAUUCUAUGGUCAAUUGCUUCAAAUCAGAAAUUGAGGUAUGAUUCUCAUGCCACGUUCCUCUUUCUUUUGUACCCAUUGAAUUUACAUGGUGCUUUUGUGCAGGACCGCAAGGUUAUUAAUCAUUAUUCUUACUUCUGGGGCAAUGGAAUUGGUAUUGUUAUUCCUAGAAGUAGUGGAAUUCUAGAGUGGAUAACAUAUCGGAAUAUGGGAAGGAAUGAAGUAACAGUAGAGCUCCCUCCGAAUUGGUAUAAAAAUGAUGACUUGUGGGGAUUUGCUUUAUGCUGUGUUUAUGUUGCACCUGCCUAUGAAUCUCAGUAUGAAUUAGGUCAUAUAUCUAAGGAUGACGCUGAACUUGAAGAUGAAGGACCAGGGUUCUGUUGUGAUUUGAGUAUCGAAGGAAAUAAUCAAUCAGGAGACGUGGGUUUUUUCCUUCUUUAUUCUUGCUGUGUUAAAUAUGAUGUGUCAGAUAUGCAGUGGGUGAUAUGUUAUCCCAAGUUAGCUAUUGAGGAAAGUUAUCACACCAAUCAAUGGACACACUUCAAGGCUUCAUUUGGUGGUGCCCAAGUGGAAGAGUGCGGAAUCCGUCUUGUAUACACAGAAGAUUAUGAACAGAAGCAUCCAGCAAUGGCACAAGGCAGUACUUCUCAUGGGAAUUUUGGUGAGCAUGGAUCGGUAAGAGAAGAUACUGAUAGUAAGCUCACAAUAAAAGGAAUCCCACAGAACAGAGCCCAAGAGAGGAGUCACACCAUAAAAGAUCCAUAGAAACCCAAGACUGAUCCCAAGUAUUAGGCUCAACCACACUUGCAUCACUAAUGCUAUCUUUACUGGUAAUUCAUCUUCCUUUCUCUUUCUAAUUCAAAGGUCAGAAUUUUUUUUUAUCGUGUUUCUCCUUUUUAUUUGUCUUUUUCCCCAAGACAAACAAAACUUUGAGGCUAUCACCCAUGGGCGCAAACUUCAAUGGUACACCUCCCAAGUUUGUUUUUCUCUCUCUCCAACCGUCUUUCCCUAGAUUUUUCUGCAUUUUCUUCAAACCCAUAUUUCCAUAUGAAAUUCAAUUACAUUCGAGCAUUUCAAUCUCUGUAGCUACUGUCUGAAUCAUUUAUAGGGUUUCUUUUUUCUGGAAGUUUGUAAUGUUAUUGAUUUAAGACUUCAUGUUUGGGGAUGUUUUGGGUGGCUUGUUCACUGGUAUUAAUUGUGAUAAUUGCAGCUCUGGUGCUUUCAAUGACUUUGACAAUAGUCGAAACUAUGUUGAAUGCUUGUACCAAGGGAAUGGACUUCAGUUGCUCUAGGGUUAGUGCUAUAACAUCAGUAUUCACUCUUCAAGAAUGUAUAUAGUUGUUGUUUUGGAAUUUUGAAAUUACUUAGCAUCAGACAAUUUCUAACUCGGGAUUUGGAUUGGGAACCAUAAGUUAUCAUUAGAGAGUGUAUGAGAAGGAAUUUUAGAGUGAGAUGGGUGAUGCAUGUUGAGGGAUGAAAGAGGGAUGUAUCUCACCCUAGAGUUCUUUGGAAUAAUUAUAGGAUUUUGUAAGUAACUUUGGACUUACUUGCAAUGUUCUGGAUUUGUGAAUAAUUUAUAGAAUGCAUUGGGUUUUUUUUUUUUGUUUUUUUUUUUGGUCCAUAAGAAACUAAAAGAACUUUGAGAGUGAAUAAUGUAUGACUGUACUCUUCUCUAUCUCUCUGGUCAUAGCACACGUAUGAUUUGGUACUUUUUUGCAGGCUUCAACAGCAGCAAAGCAUCUGGUGGCUUGCAGUACUAAUCUUACAUUAUAUUCUCUGUUUUGCAAUCAUUUGGUACUUUUUGUCCCAACCAAGGAUAGCUCUGUGCAACAGUCUCGACUGUGGAACAAGUAAAACAAAUGGUACCUGCUGAAGCUGAGAGGGCAGAUAAUAAAUUGGUGCGGAAGGUGGUCAACCAAAAGAAUCAGACAGCAAAAACUAAAAAAGCCGAUGAAGCCUGCUACUGAAGCAGUCUCAGCACCUGUUUCUAGGAGGGGUGAGAUUGAAGUGACUGAAGAAAAGGAGCGUGAGCAAACAAAGAAGGAAGAGGAGUUGGCCAGGAAGGUAGAGGAAUUGAGAAGUGAAGAGGAAGCAGCCAUGUUGAAGGAGAAAAGUCUGUUGGAGGAGAAAGCCAACGUUAAGAAGGCAUUGGAAAGGAAACAAGGAACUGCAGAAAAGGCCAAUUUCUCUGUGAGUGCUGCCACCUUUUCGUGAUACAGCCAUAAUAAUGGAUGUUAAAAGCAGUCUAACUCUACAUGGCGUUUAUUUUCCCCAGCCAUAGAUUGGAAUCUGCCAGUCUGACUCUCAUAAGAAAGAAAAUUUUCCAUCGAUCCUCGUAUGGAUUAUUGGAGAAGAUUUUAACAUGGAGUUCACAAGAGAGUUUCUAACACCCACUUAAAAGGACAUUUUAG
rnacentral:lncRNA from 1 species